rnacentral:lncRNA from 1 species
AUGUUAUUGGUCCCCCAUGUGCAGAAGGGCGCGCGCGUAUGGAAUAACAAGUAGGGACACUGCAACUAAUCUACUCUGCUCGUCCAGUCCCUAGCCUAUAAAUAGAUGCCAUGCUAGCUCUUGUUGUGCUCACAAUUAAUCCGAUUACACACGAGCUUCUCUCCCUGGCCAAGACACAACCAUAGUAUGAUGAAGAACAUGGCACUAGCCGGCAAUGGUAUGAAGAAGUUAAUCCUCGCUGUUCUCUUACUGUGUCUAGUUAUAGGGCAGAUACAAGUGGAAGCUAAGAGCUGCUGCCCAUCCACCACUGCAAGAAAUGUCUACAAUACCUGCCGUUUCACGGGUACAUCCCGUCCAACGUGUGCAAAACUGUCAGGCUGCAAAAUUAUCAGCGGGAACAAAUGCAAGCCCCCUAACGACCACCUCACCCUUGACCCGGACACUGGUAAAUAAUAAAUUUAUCUCACUUGAUUUCUUCGUGAUUUGAGUCGUUAAUGUAUUUUCCAUCUGAUGAAACGUAUUGGUUUUGCAUUGAAGAGGAAGUUAAUGUGCUUAACUUCUGCAAGUUGGGGUGUGCGUCGUCUGUGUGCAACAACAUCAACGCUGGUAAGCAACUUUUGCUCAGACAGAGAAAACAAUAAUCAUUAAUUAGCGGCAGCUAGAAUCCUAUAAUCUAAUAUAUAUAUAUAUAUAUAAUUUUAUCAGCUCUGGGAAAUGAAGAGGCGAACGAUGCCGUUGAGAGUUGCGACCAAGCCUGCUCUAGCUUCUGCAGCGUGCAUGUUGGCAGCGCCACCGUGGUUGCUUAAGCAAAUGCAUCCAACUAGAUCGUCCUUGUGCUGAAUAAUUGGAUAUCGUAUCCACUUAAAGCUGCCUUGUGUAGUACGUCUUUGUGUCUCUCUUUAUAUUCCAAUAAGGUCGGUGAUCUUGAUGCCACACACUCAGAUGUGUGUUCAUCUCCAGAUACUACUCCAUGCUACCUGCCCUUUGUGUUUUGUUCAAUAACUGGGUAUCAUAUCCCAGCCAGUAUGCCGUCUGUUUUGUGUUUGUUUCCUUCUAGUUCCAAAGGGGUCAUCAUGAUGUUACCUUCUUUCAAUAUGGUGCUUUGCAUGACUACUGUUGUAUGGUACCAUCUUGUGGCCAAUAAGUACAUCUUAUCCUAUGACCUUUGCUAUGACCCUUUGCAAAUAAGUAGAAGAUUGUUAUAAGCGUCAAUACUCCGUAUAAAUUGAUCGCUGCUGUGAGUUCCCUUUCAGCUUAUCGUAGGCAUACAUUAUUGCUAGCACGGUAAAGCCAACCAACACGAAUGAUGAAGUAAACGUAGCGGUACUUCUGUAUACCAACACCCUUACUUAAAUGUACCGGUGUCAUUCCCUACUGGCACAUAUAUUCUUAUAUGCUAGCCAGCUUGUAAAAUUAACCAAUUAAAAUAAUUAUUUCAAGAUAGAAAUAACUUAUCGGUUUCUGGAAGCAUGUGUAAUGUGAAUUCAAGGACUCGACGGAAGUUGAAUCACUUCAUCUAUAUUGCUUUCAGUAUUUUGGGUAACUAAAUUUAACAUUUGCACAUACAAAUGUUAAAGUACAAAUGUUAAAUCUAGUUACCCAAGCAGAAUAUGAAGAUAGUUUAUAGUAUAUAUAUACUAUAUAAAUCUAGUUAACAUUUAGUCUAAAUGUUAAAUCUAGUUACCUAAAAUCCUGAAAGCAAAAUGUAUAAAUAUAUAUCUUUUAAGGCAGUAUAAGCUUCGAUUCCUAUUGCUGCUCUGUUAAAUCUCAUCUUUCGUUGUGGCCCAACACUCUAGUAUGCAUGUUGCACCAAGCUUCUUUGAGCCGCUCUGCCCUCUGAUUUUGCUGCGUAGGGGAAUCUUUAUCAGGUUGGGCUACUUCCAGUUGUGCGAUGUAAAGAUUCGUAUUUUCUAGAAGGUAGACAAAAAACUCGCGUUCUCUUAAGGCAACAACCGGAAGAUUCUGCAGCGCACAGGGCAUACCAUUAUUGUAGAAACGACCUUUAGUACCGAUCUCCAACCCCCUUUAAAACUGGUUUUGCAACCGGUACCGUUAUGUCGGUCCUUUAGUACCAGAUCAAAUAAGUACCGGUUGGUAACCAGUAUCAACUUGUUUUGCGGCCAAAAAAAUAAAGAAAAAAACAGUCAGAAGGCUCGCGCACACGCGCAUCACAUGAAAUAUGCGUGUGCGGGGUCCAUGGGAUUCGAACCCAUGAAAUCAAGCUGCGCGCGACCCUUCGUUACCAUCUCACCUACAUAGCGCAUAUGCUUUCCUGAAGUAACCCGUGGAGGAGGCUUUAGUACCGGGUCAUAACACCACCCGGUACUAAAAAUGACUCUUCAGUACCGGGUCAUAACACCACCCGAUACUAGUAUCGGAUGGUGUAAUGACCCGAUACUAAAAGGCCUCUAGGGACCCUCAAAUUUGAACCCGGUACUAAUGCUAAUAUUAGUAGCGGGUCAAAGUGCAGCCAGAACUAAAGCAUGGGAUGAAAGGUCAUAUUUCUAGUAGUGUAUAGUUGUUGUGAAGGACUGACUUGGCUGUCCUCUCUCUUCUCCAUCCCCUUGGUCUUACGCCGCCGCUCGCACGCGAGCCGGUGCCCAACCAGAGGAGUGAGAGCUAGGGGCAGGUUGGGAGGUGGGGAUAGUGACUGGUGGCCAGGGUGAUGGUUGAUCCUGGUGGGGUUAGGGUUUUAGGGUUUUCGAGCUUCCUAUGGUCGGCGAACCUAGAGGAGGAGCUCAACAUCAGCUGCAACCCGCGAUGGUGGUGGUUUGGCCGGCGCCCGAGGCGAGGCAGCGCGGGAGUGCUGCCGGUGGGUUGGUGUUGGCACUCAUUAUUGACAACUAUUUUGUUCAUAAAAUAACACUCAAACUUGCUGCUGCUGCUGCUGCUGCCAUCGCCACCCUAGCCAUAAUAUAAAGGCAAAAUUUGCUAAAGGACAUGCAAAAUGAUGCUAGUUUGCUGGCGGGCAUCGUUGACCUUGUAAUAUGCUACAAGACACUCUAGUUGUGUAUCAAUUUGCUGAAAGACAUUGCUAUGACUAAAAUAAUGUUUCUGGACUGAGUUGGAGAGAGAGAUGGAGUGAAAUGUCUGUUUUGCCCAUGACCCCACUGGUCAGAUCCUUCUUCUUCCACCCUCCUUUGUUCUUUCUUCAACCAUUACCCAGCUCCAGCGUGUUGCAGAUCUACGAGGGUGGCGGCCUGGGGCGAGGGGCAUCGCUCGCCCUUGGAGGAGCGCUGCGAGCGACGGCGCGGGGGCGGCAACAGCGCGUCAGAACCUGACUGUUCGUUAGCUCCUCUCGCUGCUGGGGAAGGAGGGGGAUGGGCCAUGGACGGGGUUCCCUUGAAAACCUCAGCGUCGAGCUCGGGCGGCUACGCGCAGGCAGCACUAGGCUGCUUCACGGGGAGGGGGCGCGGCCAAUCAUUGGCACCCCACUGGUCCAAUGCUGAUGAAGAUGGUGCCAGCGUCGUGUGAGGACAUCUCAUCUCCUCGAGUUCCAUGGCCAGCACAGGUGAGCUGCCGCUACCACAAAACAGAGGUUUCGUGAGAGUCAAAAAACCUUAUGAAAAUAGCUAAAACCAUCAUGAAAAUAAUCCGUGACAUGACACUCUCACGAAAAUCCUCUCACAAAUAUGGUGCCAUGAAAAUACCAUUUUCAUGAGAGUGAACUGUCAUGAUUUUAUUUCGUGAGAGUAUUUCCUAUCAAUGACCUCCACGAAAUACUUUGUGCCACCAGGUCUUCAAGAUCAUUUUCAUGAGAGCUGAACAUCAGGAAAAGUCCGCCACAAAUGUUUUUCUUGGAGCCCCUAACUCUCAUGAAAAUCAUGCGGGCCGCCACGAAAAACAGCAUGACCAAAUGACAAAUUUCAUUUUCAUGUGUUCAUACCGCCAUGAAAAUGGUCAUUUUCAUGAGAGUUGAUGAAACAAAAAAUAGUGCCAUUUUCAUGAGAGUUCAAGCAACCAGGAAAAGACACUAAUAAACAUCCAGAUCCCAUCCAGCACACAUCCAUGCACAUAUAUAACCCACAUAUUGCUCCAGCACACAUCCAUGCAUAUACAAGAUCCAAAUGUUAAUAUAGUAGACAUCCAUGCCUGAACUAGUCUGCCACACAAGUCAUUGAUGCUACAAAUCCUACAAUCGCAGCAUGUGCAUACAAGUCACAGAAUGAGACAAUGUACCCAAAACUAAAAGGUUAGCAUCAACUGUGCUUCAACCAAAGUUGUCAUCCCAACUCUCCUCUUCAUCCAUGCCAUUCUUGUCGUGGCCGUCACUGUCAGUCCCCAUGGCAUUGCCAAUGCUGUGCAUGUCUUGGUAGGAACCUACAUGUGAUGAACUAGUAACCUGCAAAAAGAGCUCAAAGGAUCUUGUUCUCAUAUUGUAGCUGUGAAAUUCUUACAAGUAGUGUUGCAAUCAGUUCACUUUGAACCAAAAGAGCUCAAAGGAUCUUGUCCUAAAAGUUCCUCAUAAAGCUUAUGGGUUUGCUGGUGGAACUGGAAGGGCUUGAUGCAGCAGAUGCCAUUCUGCAAUAGAGAAAAAUUUAGAGAGCAGUACUAGUUAAAAUUGGAUGCAGAAGAUACACAUGAAACUAGUAUUUAUACAAGUCUAUACAAUUAAAAUCUAAGGAGACUUAUCAUCGUUUUCAUGUGUUGUGAAUUAAAAUAAUGAAGGAUACACUGUUAGGUGAAAAUUCAAGAAACAAAAUUUUGCAUAGAGAUAAAGGUCCAACAUUAUUACAAGUUAAGGUAGUUUUAAAUAUCCUUGUAAUCUUCCUUUGGUUUCCUCAACGAUUCGAAGACAAUAACCUUGCUUCUAUCAAUGAUAAUUAUAAGGAGAAUCCAGUGGAAACUGUGUAUUCGUAUUAGAACUACCUAAGGUUAAUUAGGUUAGGAAAGGAAAUUGAAAAUAGAUGGUACCCACACUUACUUAAAGUUGUCGGGCAAUAGUAUGUAAUGCUUGUAAUUCCGUUGCUCCAAGAAUUUGUAUAUGUGGUCCAAUGUAGACUUUGGUUGAUCCCGUAUCUGCUGUUGGUUAAAUAAGUGUUUCUAGCCAUUUCUAGCCAUUAGAACCGGGACUAAAGGGGGCUCUUUAGUACGGGUUGAUAUUACUAACCGGGAUUAAAGAGCCCCCAUUAGAGUUGGUUUUUGGAUGCGGAACUAACAACUCCUUUAGUCCUGAGUACGAAAACAACUGACAUAUUUGUUGCUGGAUGGAAGGUCCUUUCUCUACCGUGAAUAUUGCCAGAAAGAAUUGAAAGAGACUGCUUGCUAAAAAUAUGUCAUAGAUGUAGACCAAGCUACCAAGGAGGUAGACCAAACAUGAUACACACCAUGCGUACCUUGCUGUGCAGACUAUGCAUUGACAAGAUACCCGACCACAUGUUGGCCUCGGUCACAUCAAAAGAAUCAUGUAGGCCACCAAUAAACUACUUGAAGCGGCAUUCCGUAUCGUAUAUGCAUUGCCGGUUCAUCUGCAUUACAUUACAUAAAGCACUAUUAACUAUUUGAAUAAAAUGAACCAAUUUAAAAGUAAUGUGUUGUACUCUACUAUAGAAAGCCCUAUCACUGCCGGAUCCAAAAACAUCAUUGUUAAUGGUGGUUAAGUACCAAAUAUGACGGUCAAUAUUCUCAAGAAUAAUGGAGAAUUAGCAUUUCUUAGACACAUAUUUGGUUUUGAACAAUGUAGUUCCACAUGUCUUUGGAGAUUAUUUGGGUGUGGGUGAAAUAAUACAAAAAUAAGGAGAAAACACACUCCCAUGGCGAAGAAACACAACUCCAACCAAUGAGAGAUAGCCACAGGGGCAGCACACGGAUCCAUGGGCCCACUAACCGCAUCAAACCAUCUUACCAAGGCAGGUAGCACCCACAACCGUCAUUAGGACCCACCUGGAAGUCUACCAAGAAGAAGGUUGCGAGUGGGGCCAGGAGGGGUUCGGUUGAAUCAUCUCUAGCUAGCUCCCCUCAUCCCCAGCUGGUGGGUGGUGGUGGUUGAUGGUGUCCCUACAUCAGUUAGAGGAGAUUCCCCCAAAUAUUCCUCCUGUAAACCACCUCUAUGGACCUAUACAUAGAGGGGUGUGCUCUCCAUUCCAACACACACCACAAGUUGAAUCACUCUCUCCCUCUUUAGUUUCCAAGUUUAUGGAGUUAGGCUAGAGUAGCUCUGCUCAAGGUUCCAAGUCCACUUGGAGUUAAGCAUAUGUCUCUUGUAUCGUUAUUUCCUAAAUUGACUUUAUGCUUAGUUCUUAUAUGCAUGAGUUAGUCUAAUACCCUUGCUAUAUUGAUAUGCUCGGCUUAUAUGCUCGUAUGCUAGUCAUAUACCCUUGCUGUCGUAGUAUAGGCUUAUAUGCUCUCAUGUGUGCCUGUAGACCUUGCUAUAGUAUAUACUUGUUGUGCAUACAUACCAUGUAUAGGCUAGUCGAUCUAUACCAUGGCAUUGGUUCAAUAGCCAUGUUUUUGGUGGCUCCAACCCUAGUCACAAUAGCUCGGGACAGCUGGAGUGUUGUUAAAAAUGCAAGAGUGGUGCUUGGGUUGUUUAGCAUCGUUGGAUAUGGGUUUGCCCCACGGGUUUCUAACGGUAGGCGGCAGCUAGUGACAUCCCUGUCCGUCCUUCGUAAUCCCCCCACAUUCAGGUACGCCAUAAAUGUUCGUAAAUUAGCAGUAACUACGCCGGUACACCUGUAGGGUAUUGUCUCCCUGUAGUACCUUGGUGCAUAGAACUAAGUCCUAUACACUGUGUGUGUAUGUUUACGCUGAUAUGAUCUGUGCAGUAUAUAGGAUGUAUAUAUGAACCUAGAGCUAACUCCUAGUCCGUUCUCCAUAGCUUAGUUAUCUUGAGAUGAUUCUUCUGUAUGUGUAACACUACCCAUCUUAUCAUUAUCCUUGAUCCUGUCUUGUGUAAUAUAUCUACUCAUCCUAUGAUAUACUCAUAUGCAUAGUAAACUAUUUUGACCUACCCGCCUUCCUUUGGGAAAUAUGAUACCUUGGAAUAAUCCUAGGUGAAAUCCUACAACGGUAUAUCCAUGUAAAUGCGGAUUUAUUCAUGACCAUUAAAUAUACCAACAAUCAUCACUGUGAGUUUUGGGCGUCGUUAGUGAAGGGUUGGUAGUGAUGGGCAUCCCCUUCACCAAUGGACCUGGAACCGGCGGUGAUGGCUAUUAUAAAAAAGGGGACACCACCCAGCGUACCCCACGACCCGGCCGGCCGCACCUCCCAUCAUCCCCGCCAGCCGCCCUUCCUUUUCGCCGGCCGAGCAUGGUCCCGGCCUUUGUCCCUACCACCUCGCCUCCACCGCGACCCCCCGCCGAUGCCCUCGUGCCUGGCCCCCCUCAUCUUGCCGGCCACCCUCCCGAUGCGUCCACUGGGGCCCUCGCACCACCAACCGCCCUUGCUUAGAGAGGGAGAGAGAGGAGGGAGGUGAGGCCACGCACCUCGUCCUACACCGCCGCUGUUUCUCCUCGGCCCACCGCGCCUCACCCCACACCACAGCCGCGCCUUGCCAUCUUACCGGCUGUGACGCCUCAUCUCACCGGCCACCGUUCCUCACCCCCACUUCGGUCGUCGCCGCUCCUUGCCCUACCGCUGCUCUUUGCCGCUGCGAAUGAGCGCCGAGUGGAGGAGGAGGGAUGGGGCAGGAGGAGGGCAAGAUCCGGGAGGAAGGGAGAGAUCUCGGGAGGUGGAGAUGGAAGGAUAUGGCGGAAGGGAGAGAUCCAGAGGGAGAGAGCAGGGGAGAGAGGGGGGCGUGUGGGGAGAGAGCGCGUGUGGGGUGGGGCCGGGCUGGUGGGAUGGAAGGGAGAGGGGCUAGACGGGCGCAGUGCAUUCAACUGGAUGAAGUAAAUAUUUUGGAUUCGAGACCCCAGCUUUAUUAUCACCGCUGGUCCGUAGUACCAUCCGGUGCCUGCUCGUAAUUUAAUUUGAAUCUGCGGUGAUGUUUUAUUAUCACCAUCGGAUCAUAUAAAAAUCCGGCGGUUAAAAAUCCGCUGGUUUCGAUGAAAACCGACGGUGAUAGGAUGACUGUGAUAGUCUCUUCUCUAGUAGUGGUAUAUUAGUACCGGCUGCCGGAUGGUGUUGCCGACCAGUACUUCUCCGGGGGCGAUUCAGUACUGCUGUUAGCAAAGCUUGUUCUCUAUGAAUUUGGGGAUGGAAAGCUAGUUCUCUAGUUGUGAUUUGUUACAUAUAUAUCUAUGAUAGUCUAGAAAUUGCAUGUCCUUCGUUGACAUAGUUGAAGCUGCUUCAAGAAUUUACUUCGUGCAGUCGUGCAGCAUAUUGGAUUAUCACCUAGACAGGAUACAUAGGUGAAGCAUUGGAUGUGAUUGUGGCCGAUAAUUAUGCAGGACGCUGUUGCAAUCAACCACCAAGAAGUCUGGAGUGAUGGGGUUGCCUCAUCAAUAAUUUUUAUAUAUGGCUGCAGUAUUAUUAAGCCCACGUCAAUAAUUUUUUGUCCGCACCAUAUAUCGAUGGGGUUGCCUCAUCAAUAAUUCGCGCAACCAGACAAGCUGCAGACUCAAUAUGGUACGAAGCUAGUUGCUCAGCCCACAUGCUCUGAUAUAACAUUGACAUCUGCUGAUCUACAGUAUAUAUGACCAGAAAUAUUGUGCCCACCUCAAUAACUUUCUGAAGUAUCGUGGGGAAGAACCUACGCGUACUAUGCCUCGGAACUAACUGACAUAUCGGCCCAGGCGGUCUAGGCCGAUUGGACUGGCUCUUCCUUGUGGCUUCUCACAUCCCCUUCGUCCCCAAGUAAUUUCAGGUGUUCUGUAGUUUUCUUUUCACUUGCAUCUGAGCCUCCUAUAUCAAUAGCUUCGGGAUAAGAAUGCCUCUUGAUAACCUUCCAAAUCCUCGCUUGAUUCACAUUGAUUCCGAAAUCAUCUUGCCAUAUCUUCAGAGACUUAGGUCCUAAGGCAUCAUGGAGGAUUGCUCGCCAAGAAUGAGCACCAUUGGGCUCCUGAGGACCCUAGGCCGAUCAGCCCGGGCUCUAUAGGUCGAUUGGCCCAGGCCCUCUCUGGGCCUGUUGGCCUUCAUCUUUCUUUGAGUCGACGCUUAUUCAGGGCUUUGUCCAAUUAUAGUCCAUUAUAGUCUAAUUUCCUAAAAAACAGAAUGUCCUCCAAAAUACAAUGCAUAUGUGAAAACAACCCAAUUAUUAGGUAUGAUCAAUAGUUUAGGUAUUAAAUUAAUAUUAUUAUUUAAGAUAAACAGGGGUAAAGGGUGUCAUUAAUAACAAGCGCCAACAAGCGUCCUAGCUGUUCAAUAAAUUUUUUCUAGUACCGAUUGGUAACACUAACCGGUGCUAAUAUGUACCCUUUAUUACCGGUUAUUUUACCAGGUACUAAAGGAGACAAGAGCAUCCUAACAUAAGGUUAAUAUCAUCCAUUUCAUGAGUAAAAUACUAUGAUUCAAAAAUAAUUCAAAUCCCUUAAGACAAUACCUAUCAAAUGAGUAAAUUGUAAAUAGAGUAAUCUUGAUCAAACAAUGUCCUAAUGAAACGGAACACUUCUGGUUCGUGUAGAGCACAAUAUAGAAAACAGUAGGGUAGCUGUAUGAUUGACACGUGGUCCAUUAAUUAUUGAGCCAACACUAUGGACAUGUCUUCAUGAGUAGUGUACUAGUCAUAAUACAUGGUAUGCAGUAGGUGGAGGUAUUGACUUAGCCAUGCUAUGAGCACUUAGUUACAACAAACACUUUGCCAUUAUCGAGCAUCCCAAAUCACUACAAAAUCCAUAGUUUACCAUAUACUACAAAAUCUGAGUUAAAAUAAGAGCAUACACGGAAGAGUCCGAAUGCACGGCACAUUGAAUUACUAGACAAAAUUUAUGGGACAAGGUUUUGGGUAACCGCAUGAAAAAUAUUGGAUUUUACUGAACACUUAGUUACAAUUACCAUGCCCGUGAGCACUUAGUCACCACAAACAUUUAACCACUUUAGAUCAUCCUGAAUCCCUAUAAAUUCUAUACCUUACACCGUACCAUGAAAACGACAAGAACAGAGACAGAUGCGGUGAAAAUCUCCAGAGCAAGCCUGAAAUUAAAAUAAGAGGAGGCAGUCACUAUCGACAGGACACGGAGAUUGCUAGCCAUGACAGAGGAAGACAUGAUAUGAUAUUCACCUCUGAAAUGCAGCGUAGACUAAAUGAAGCACAAUUGCAAGUGAGUGUGGCAGAUAAUGGACCAUCGAGACCAUCGAAUGGUAUGAAGCAUGAUUAUCACCUAGACAUGAUAUCCUAGACAGGACGGUGAAUUGUAAAAAGAGUAAUCUUGAUCAAAGAAUGUCCUAAUGAAACGGAACAUUUUUGGUACGUGUAGAGCAAAAUAUAGAAAACAGUAGAGUAGUUGUACGAUUGAAACUGCAUCCAUCGACGUGGUGCAUGAAUUGUUGAGCCAACACUGUGGACAUGUCUUCAUGAACACCAUCUAGUGAGGACAGCAUGCAGAAAAAUAUAAAAACAUGUCAUAGGGAGGCAGACCAAUCUUGCGAGGUAGACGAAACGUGAUACACGAUCUGCCUACCUUGUCGUGUGGAUACCCCAAGUGAAGAUGUCAUAGAGGUGCAGACCAAGCUAGCAAGGAGGUAGAUGAAACGUGAUACACGGCCUGCCUACCUUGCCGUGGAUAUUAGUCCUGAUAUCAUUCUAUUGUUCAAGGAAUAACACUCAAUGCUGCUGCUGCUGCUGACCUGGCUCCAUAAAGUUAUAUUCCUCUAGCCGCUUGCACUAACUUUAUCUGAAGUAUUAUUCUCUCUGCACUGUAUAUAUGGUUACGGAGUUUGCUGGAGUAUCCGGGGGGAAGAACCUACAUAAUAUGUCUUGGAACUAACUGACAUUGAUUCACAGACAAGGUGCUGUUGUUGACAUGGUACAGUAAAUAAUAUAGUUUACCAUAUACCGUAUACCAUUAUAUGUUAGCUAAAAUAAGAGCAUAACAUGUCGCAGGAGUCCAAAAGCACCGGUUGAGGACCAGGUACAUUAAAUUACUAGAAAACAAAAGGGGACAAGGUUUAGGUAGCCACAUGAAAAACAUUUGAAUUUACUGUACCAUGAACACUUAGUUACCAUGCCGGGAGCACCUAGUUAACACUAACAUUUAGCCACUUUAGAUCAUCCCGAAACACCAAUGACCCUCAAUAGCGACAAAUUUUGGUUUAAAUGCCGUCACCAAUGAUCCUCAAUAGUGACGUGUUUAGGUUUAAAUCCCAUCACUAAUAACCCUUGGUAGUGACGUGUUUUGGUUUAAAUCUCAUCACCACUGAUCCUCACUAGUGACGUGUUUUUAGCAACACACGUUAUGAAUGACUUGUCAUUGGUGACAUGUUAAACGCGUUAUCUCAAUGGCAAAUCAAUGGUGACGUGUUUAAAAAAACAUGUCACUGUGAGAGUUAUUGGUGAAGGGUAAUUAAAAUGCAUCACUAAUUUUGUAGCAUUAGUUAUGAUAUAAUUUUGUAACGCAAAAAUCUACCAUAGUAAUGAGGUUUAGAGCCAUCACUAAUGUGGGUUUCUUAUCGUAGUGAUGCAAGCUCUACAAGGUGCUGUUGUUGCCAUUUUAAAGCAUCCCAAAUGACUACAAGAGUCCGGUUGAGGACUAAACAAAUUGAAUUACUAGAACCAAAUGUAUGUCCAGAACAAAGAAAGGGGUCAAGGUUUGGGUAACCGCAUUAAAAACAUUGAAUUUUACUGUACCAUGAACACUUAGUUACCAUUACCAUGCCUUGAGCACCUAGUUACCACAAACAUUAAUUUAGCCACUUUAGAGGUUCCACAAUCACUAUAAAUAAUAUACCAACACCGUACCAUGAAAACAUCAAGAAGAGAGACGGGUACAUGGACCACCAUCAAGUGAGUAGUGACAGCACGCACAAGAAUACCCGGAACCUUUUAGCUUGUCUGUAGUGAUCUGUUUUCUUCGCCACAAAUAAUGAAAGAGGCUGACCAAGCUAGCAACGAGGUAGAGCAAACGUGAUACACGUAGGUUUCAUUCAAGACAUCCAUGUAAGAUUCAUUCAAAACAUUCAUGGAAAUUUCUUGUAAGUUUUCAUGUAAAUUUCAUUCAAGACAUUUGUUAGAGGUGUUGUAUAUACACUUAACGUACAUAUAUCUAUGAUUUCAUGGUUGUUAGUGAUGGCAGAUGAGGAGCAUGCAAGGUGUUUAAUGGAGCAGAUUAUUGCUAGUGGUAGUGGCUCCAACCUGCCCGUAACGUACACCGACGAAGAGGGCAGCCAGGCGGACAUGUUCCUCAACAUGUCCGGUGAUGGCAAUGAAGAGCCCGAGCAAAACCUUGCCGUGACGGAAGGUUCCAUCGAGGUAUAUAUCAUUUCCAUUAUUUUACCCCAUCUAUAAUUUCAUAUUCAUUAUUACUAUGUGCUAAUUAAUGAAUCUUGAACCGUUAGUCCUCUAGAUCAACGAACCGAAAUAAGCCCCGAGGUCUUACAAAGAUAAUGCAGGGAAGGCUUCACAUCAUGGAAGUCACAGAAGAGGGCACAUCGGUUGCUCCCGAACAUGUGGCAAGAAAGUACGUGAGUCAAACCGGGGCAAUCGUAAGGGACAACAUGCCCAUCAGCAUCAGGGAAUGAAAGAGCAAUAGAAAUGAUCUAUACGCACCCCCGGAUACACAAAAGGAUAUGUUGUGGGCAAAUAUCAAGAAACACUUCACAUUUCCCAAAGGAUAUGUUGAAAAAUAUGUGAAAGCGUGGAUGUUGAAGAAGAUGGCCACCCAAUUCCAGACAUUCAAGAAGAUGUUGGAUGCCAACUUCAUCAAGAAGGGUCGAACUCCGGGUUUCAAUGAGUGGCCAAAGUUAAGGGACCACUGGGAGUCGUUUGUCGAAUACAAGACGAGCGAAGGUGGUGCGAGUAAGGUUCACAUCAAUGUUGCCAAUGCUAGCAAGGAGUACCAUCAUCAUCUAGGGCGACGUGGUUACAGCUCUGCAAUUCCCAGAUGGCGCAAGAUGGAACAAGACCUGAUCGAUCGGGGUAUCGUACCAGCAACUCUUGACUGGAUCGAUUGAAAAAUUGGUAUUAUGCUCAUGAAGGCAAUCUGAGCCAAGAGGAUCCGACAUUGGUCUUCAAUAAAACAAUACGUCAGAAGGUCGGAAGGCUUAUUAGGAACAUUGAAGAUGCUAAAGCUGGGAGGUUCAAGGUGGAUAGAGAGAAUGAUGAACUCACAUUGGCCCUCGGGACUGUCAUCUCUAGCACUUCCAGCUCCAGGACUAUCGUCACCACCGGGACCGUCGCUUCCUGCUCGAUCACAGUCUCCAUCUCCAGCACAUCCUGGUGGUGCGAGCGACGACGACAACAACACCCCUCCCUGCCCACCAUUGCCGGGACUAAGACCCGCAUUGAGUAAGGAACCUGCAACACCACUGAAGAAGUCGCGACCACCACCUUCAAGGCAAGUCAGCAAAAGAAGAAAGCAGAGAAGCCUAAACCCACUGAGAAGCCAGCGACUGAUAUGACCGAUGCGGAAAGAUGGAAGGCACUCAAAGAAGAAUGCAGGGAGUGGUUCAGCGAAGGCGAAGGUGAGAAAGUCGUAUGAAUCGAAUUCAAGGAUAUAUAUGAAGUGAACCAUCAGGAUGCCCUUGAUGUCUCUCUCAUCAGCGCCUAGGUUCUGUAAGUGUAUGUUUAUCUAUAAGUAAAUUUUGGCUCAUAUCAUUAUUUUUUUUGCGUGCGUCACCCUACUAACUUCGUCUUCCAUUUUAUGUAGGAUGCUAAUUCAGACGUGCCGCAUAGAAGCGUACUUCCAUGUUGGAUUCAUGGAUCCAUCCCUAGUUAACCAAAAGCCGAUACGGAAGUAGCUAGAGAAAACGUUGGAGGUGGUGUACAACCUCCUGGACAAACUAAACUACAGAAUAGGGGCAAUAUGUGAGGGUCUUGUAGGAUUCCUAGUGGACGAGGUGAUAAAUCCAUAAGGAGAAUAUCAUUCCAACGGACGAGCAUUAGACACACUGAGCAACACCUAGAUGGGAGGAUCCUAGGAAUGACCUCGACAGAUUUUGGUAUAAAUAGUAAUUGUGUAAAUACUAGUUUGAUUUGUAUAGGAAUAUACUAAGAAUUGUAUAUAUAGUAAUUGUACAAAUACUAGUUUGAUUUGUAUGAAUACUAGAUUGAUUUUAUUAUAAAAAAGUUUUAAGUCGUACGUGCAUGCGCCUACAAAGGCGCGGAUGCCUUUUAAUCCCAGUCGGAAAAACAAACUGGUACUAAAGGGGCUCGUGCCGCACCUGGCAUGACCACCCCUUUAGUCCCGGUUGAACGACCCAGGACUAAAGAUCUCCGCGUCUCAAAAAUUUUAUCUCGGAUGCUUUUUAGAGAGAUUUGAGGCCUAUCAACCAAGACUAAUAUCGAGUUUUCUACCAGUGAAACUAACUAACGUUCACAUGGUUUUGACAUUCACCUGCCAUUUGGUGUAGACAAGGGCACCCUAACAUAUGGUUAAUAUUAUUCUUGAAAGAAAAUCCUUUGAUUCAAAAUACUUCAAACCUAAUAAUACAAUACUUCUCACAUCUGAAAAAUAUGAGACGGCCCGACAGUAUUCUAAUCGACGCAAUAAUAUUUUGAGGGCAGCACUACUACAGCGACCCUCAUUCGUGCCGGUGCUGGGACUCCUAUCACGACCCUGAUACAAAUGAGGGUACAUUAUUGGUGCCAGUGCUAGAACAGCCACGAAUAACUUGCUAAACGUGCUGUUACACUCACUACAGGGACCAAGAAGGUAGAUAAAUUACACGACAUAGCCUUGGUUGCCGUGGAAGCGCCAAGAAGGGAGACAAAUUACAGGGACCACACCAUCAAGUAGAUAGUGACAAUAUGCAAAAGAAUACCCGCGCCUGUUAGCAUGUGAACUGACCACACCACGAAACGUGAUACACGGCAAGCGUACCAAGGCCUUGCUGUGCAGACUAUGCAUGGACAACACAUGGUACCUGACCGCUUUUGGCCUCAGACACAUCGAAAAACUGCAUCGUUCCACGUUGUACAUCCAUUGCUAGUUUAUCUAUAUUACAUAAUAUAUUAUUAGCUAUUUGAAUAGAAUGAACCAAUUAAAAAAUUGCGUUGUAUUUUUAGUACCGGCUGCAGGAUGGUGUUACCAACCAGUACUAAUUGGCCUGUAGGAGUGAUGGUUAUUAGACUUGGUACUGUUGUUAGCAUCAUUAACCUAAUUGUGCGCCGUAUGAAUUUGGGGAUGCAAAGCUAGCUCUCUAUGAAUGUGAGGGAUGGAAAGCUAGUUCUCUAGUAGUAAUUAUAUAUAUGACAGUCAAGAAAUCGAACACUAUGCUGCUACGAGUCACCAUCAUUUCCUUCAUUGACAAUCUGACAUAGGUGAAGCUGCUUCAAUAAUUUCCUUCGCGCAGUCGUGGAGCUUAUUGGAUUAUCACCAGGACGGGACACGGAAAUGGCCAGCAAUGAAGCUGAUUGCCGUCUGAGGAAGACUACAUACUUACCUAUGAAAUGAAGCGAUUGCAUAGACUAAUGAAGCAUUGCAUAUUUGCAUGUGAGUGUGGCAGAUAAUUCUGCAGGACAUGAUUGCAAUCCACGCACCAUCGAGAAGACUGGGGCGAUGGGGUUGCCUCAUCAAUAAUCACGUGGAUGCAUGCAUGCAUGUUCCCGCAACCGGACAAGGGUCUGAUAUAUGGCUAUAGUAUUACUGAGCCCACAUCAAUAAUUUCCACUGGUGUAUCGUGUGGGAAGAAUCAACAUACUACACCUCGAGUUCUUGGAACUAACUGACGUUCACAUGCAACCUCCACAAGGUGCUGUAUGCUUUUGACAUUCACCUGCCAGUUCGUGUAGAGAAGGACACCCUAACGUAUAGUUAAUAUUAUCCAUUUCAUGAGUAAAAUACUGUGAUUCAAAAAUACUUCAAAUCCCUUGAGACAAUACUUCUCACUUGACUAACCACUAACCAACCCCGAAACCCUAACUCAACUCCGAACCCUAACCCCUAACGGCAUAACCACUCCGUUUUGCCGGCGAGAUGGAGGAACUGGCUGGAAGGUAGAGAGGGCAGCGGUCCAGGGUUGAAAACGACGGGCGAGCGCAGUAACAUGUGGAGGAGGAAGUGCCACGUAUUCGUUCACCGCUAUUGGGCAGCGACACACGACACGCCCAAUAAGAUCUUCGCACGGUAGAAGGACGUCAUGUAUUCAAUAAUGUUAUUGGUCCCCCAUGUGCAGAAGGGCGCGCGCGUAUGGAAUAACAAGUAGGGACACUGCAACUAAUCUACUCUGCUCGUCCAGUCCCUAGCCUAUAAAUAGAUGCCAUGCUAGCUCUUGUUGUGCUCACAAUUAAUCCGAUUACACACGAGCUUCUCUCCCUGGCCAAGACACAACCAUAGUAUGAUGAAGAACAUGGCACUAGCCGGCAAUGGUAUGAAGAAGUUAAUCCUCGCUGUUCUCUUACUGUGUCUAGUUAUAGGGCAGAUACAAGUGGAAGCUAAGAGCUGCUGCCCAUCCACCACUGCAAGAAAUGUCUACAAUACCUGCCGUUUCACGGGUACAUCCCGUCCAACGUGUGCAAAACUGUCAGGCUGCAAAAUUAUCAGCGGGAACAAAUGCAAGCCCCCUAACGACCACCUCACCCUUGACCCGGACACUGGUAAAUAAUAAAUUUAUCUCACUUGAUUUCUUCGUGAUUUGAGUCGUUAAUGUAUUUUCCAUCUGAUGAAACGUAUUGGUUUUGCAUUGAAGAGGAAGUUAAUGUGCUUAACUUCUGCAAGUUGGGGUGUGCGUCGUCUGUGUGCAACAACAUCAACGCUGGUAAGCAACUUUUGCUCAGACAGAGAAAACAAUAAUCAUUAAUUAGCGGCAGCUAGAAUCCUAUAAUCUAAUAUAUAUAUAUAUAUAUAAUUUUAUCAGCUCUGGGAAAUGAAGAGGCGAACGAUGCCGUUGAGAGUUGCGACCAAGCCUGCUCUAGCUUCUGCAGCGUGCAUGUUGGCAGCGCCACCGUGGUUGCUUAAGCAAAUGCAUCCAACUAGAUCGUCCUUGUGCUGAAUAAUUGGAUAUCGUAUCCACUUAAAGCUGCCUUGUGUAGUACGUCUUUGUGUCUCUCUUUAUAUUCCAAUAAGGUCGGUGAUCUUGAUGCCACACACUCAGAUGUGUGUUCAUCUCCAGAUACUACUCCAUGCUACCUGCCCUUUGUGUUUUGUUCAAUAACUGGGUAUCAUAUCCCAGCCAGUAUGCCGUCUGUUUUGUGUUUGUUUCCUUCUAGUUCCAAAGGGGUCAUCAUGAUGUUACCUUCUUUCAAUAUGGUGCUUUGCAUGACUACUGUUGUAUGGUACCAUCUUGUGGCCAAUAAGUACAUCUUAUCCUAUGACCUUUGCUAUGACCCUUUGCAAAUAAGUAGAAGAUUGUUAUAAGCGUCAAUACUCCGUAUAAAUUGAUCGCUGCUGUGAGUUCCCUUUCAGCUUAUCGUAGGCAUACAUUAUUGCUAGCACGGUAAAGCCAACCAACACGAAUGAUGAAGUAAACGUAGCGGUACUUCUGUAUACCAACACCCUUACUUAAAUGUACCGGUGUCAUUCCCUACUGGCACAUAUAUUCUUAUAUGCUAGCCAGCUUGUAAAAUUAACCAAUUAAAAUAAUUAUUUCAAGAUAGAAAUAACUUAUCGGUUUCUGGAAGCAUGUGUAAUGUGAAUUCAAGGACUCGACGGAAGUUGAAUCACUUCAUCUAUAUUGCUUUCAGUAUUUUGGGUAACUAAAUUUAACAUUUGCACAUACAAAUGUUAAAGUACAAAUGUUAAAUCUAGUUACCCAAGCAGAAUAUGAAGAUAGUUUAUAGUAUAUAUAUACUAUAUAAAUCUAGUUAACAUUUAGUCUAAAUGUUAAAUCUAGUUACCUAAAAUCCUGAAAGCAAAAUGUAUAAAUAUAUAUCUUUUAAGGCAGUAUAAGCUUCGAUUCCUAUUGCUGCUCUGUUAAAUCUCAUCUUUCGUUGUGGCCCAACACUCUAGUAUGCAUGUUGCACCAAGCUUCUUUGAGCCGCUCUGCCCUCUGAUUUUGCUGCGUAGGGGAAUCUUUAUCAGGUUGGGCUACUUCCAGUUGUGCGAUGUAAAGAUUCGUAUUUUCUAGAAGGUAGACAAAAAACUCGCGUUCUCUUAAGGCAACAACCGGAAGAUUCUGCAGCGCACAGGGCAUACCAUUAUUGUAGAAACGACCUUUAGUACCGAUCUCCAACCCCCUUUAAAACUGGUUUUGCAACCGGUACCGUUAUGUCGGUCCUUUAGUACCAGAUCAAAUAAGUACCGGUUGGUAACCAGUAUCAACUUGUUUUGCGGCCAAAAAAAUAAAGAAAAAAACAGUCAGAAGGCUCGCACACACGCGCAUCACAUGAAAUAUGCGUGUGCGGGGUCCAUGGGAUUCGAACCCAUGAAAUCAAGCUGCACGCGACCCUUCGUUACCAUCUCACCUACAUAGCGCAUAUGCUUUCCUGAAGUAACCCGUGGAGGAGGCUUUAGUACCGGGUCAUAACACCACCCGGUACUAAAAAUGACUCUUCAGUACCGGGUCAUAACACCACCUGAUACUAGUAUCGGAUGGUGUAAUGACCCGAUACUAAAAGGCCUCUAGGGACCCUCAAAUUUGAACCCGGUACUAAUGCUAAUAUUAGUAGCGGGUCAAAGUGCAGCCAGAACUAAAGCAUGGGAUGAAAGGUCAUAUUUCUAGUAGUGUAUAGUUGUUGUGAAGGACUGACUUGGCUGUCCUCUCUCUUCUCCAUCCCCUUGGUCUUACGCCGCCGCUCGCACGCGAGCCGGUGCCCAACCAGAGGAGUGAGAGCUAGGGGCAGGUUGGGAGGUGGGGAUAGUGACUGGUGGCCAGGGUGAUGGUUGAUCCUGGUGGGGUUAGGGUUUCAGGGUUUUCGAGCUUCCUAUGGUCGGCGAACCUAGAGGAGAAGCUCAACAUCAGCUGCAACCCGCGAUGGUGGUGGUUUGGCCGGCGCCCGAGGCGAGGCAGCGCGGGAGUGCUGCCGGUGGGUUGGUGUUGGCACUCAUUAUUGACAACUAUUUUGUUCAUAAAAUAACACUCAAACUUGCUGCUGCUGCUGCUGCCAUCGCCACCCUAGCCAUAAUAUAAAGGCAAAAUUUGCUAAAGGACAUGCAAAAUGAUGCUAGUUUGCUGGCGGGCAUCGUUGACCUUGUAAUAUGCUACAAGACACUCUAGUUGUGUAUCAAUUUGCUGAAAGACAUUGCUAUGACUAAAAUAAUGUUUCUGGACUGAGUUGGAGAGAGAGAUGGAGUGAAAUGUCUGUUUUGCCCAUGACCCCACUGGUCAGAUCCUUCUUCUUCCACCCUCCUUUGUUCUUUCUUCAACCAUUACCCAGCUCCAGCGUGUUGCAGAUCUACGAGGGUGGCGGCCUGGGGCGAGGGGCAUCGCUCGCCCUUGGAGGAGCGCUGCGAGCGACGGCGCGGGGGCGGCAACAGCGCGUCAGAACCUGACUGUUCGUUAGCUCCUCUCGCUGCUGGGGAAGAAGGAGGGGGAUGGGCCAUGGACGGGGUUCCCUUGAAAACCUCAGCGUCGAGCUCGGGCGGCUACGCGCAGGCAGCACUAGGCUGCUUCACGGGGAGGGGGCGCGGCCAAUCAUUGGCACCCCACUGGUCCAAUGCUGAUGAAGAUGGUGCCAGCGUCGUGUGAGGACAUCUCAUCUCCUCGAGUUCCAUGGCCAGCACAGGUGAGCUGCCGCUACCACAAAACAGAGGUUUCGUGAGAGUCAAAAAACCUUAUGAAAAUAGCUAAAACCAUCAUGAAAAUAAUCCGUGACAUGACACUCUCACGAAAAUCCUCUCACAAAUAUGGUGCCAUGAAAAUACCAUUUUCAUGAGAGUGAACUGUCAUGAUUUUAUAAGCGUCAAUACUCGGUAUAAAUUGACUACUGCUGUGAGUUCCCUUUCAGCUUAUCGUAGGCAUACAUUAUUGCUAGCACGGUAAAGAGAACCAACACGAAUGAUGAAGUAAACGUAGCGGAACUUUUGUAUACCAACACCCUUACGUACCGGUGUCAUUCCCCACUGCCACAUAUAUUCUUAUAUGCUAACCAGCUUUGAAAAUUAAGCGAUUAAAAUAAUUAUUUCAAGAUAGAAAUAACUUAUCGGCUUCUCGAAGCUUGUGUAAUGUGAAUUCAAGGACUCGAUGGAAGUUGAAUCGCUUCAUCUAGAUUGCUUUCAGGAUUUUGGGUAACUAAAUUUAACAUUUGCACACACAAAUGUUAAUGUACAAAUGUUAAAUCUAGUUACCCAAGCAGAAUAUGAAGAUACUCUAUAGUAUAUAUGUACUAUAUAAAUCUAGUAAACAUUUAGUCUAAAUGUUAAAUCUAGUUACCUAAAAUCCUAAAAGCAAAAUGUAUAAAUAUAUAUCUUUUAAGGCAGUAUAAGCUUCAAUUCUCUGUUAAAUCUCAUCUUUCGUUGUGGCCCAACACUCUAGUAUGCAUGUUGCACCAAGCUUCUUUGAGCCGCUCUGCCCUCUGAUUUUGCUGCGUAGGGGAAUCUUUAUCAGGUUGGGCUACUUCCAGUUGUGCGAUGUAAAGCUUCGUAUCUUUUAGAAGGUAGACAAAAUACCCGCGUUCUGGAAGAUUCUGCAACGUGCACGUUGGCGCUGCCACCGUGGUUGCUUAAGCAAAUGCAUCCAACUGAAUCGUCCUUAAGCUGAAUAAUUGGAUAUGGUAUCCACUGCUUAAAGCUGCCAUGUUUAGUACGUCUUUGUUUUUCUCUCUUUAUAUUCCAAUAAGGUCGGUGAUCUUGAUGCCACACACUCAGAUGUGUGUUUAUCUCCAGAUACUACUCCAUGCUACCUACCCUUUGUGUUUUGUUCAAUAACUGGGUAUCAUAUCCUAGCCAGUGUGCCAUCUGUUUUGUGUUUGUUUCCUUCUAGUUCCAAAGGGGUCAUCAUGAUGUUACCUUCUUUUGAGGUGUCUAUGAUGACUUCGUUAAUAUCAAUAUUAACCAAUUCAAUCUGUCUUAACUAUUUGUAAGGGGUAUGAUGUAUGCAUGAUUAUAACAAUGAUUGCGCAUACAAUCGCCGCCAAAGAAACGGUCAAUACCAUUAAGACAUAUUACAGACAAUUCUCAUAAUCUAUAAUGAAUAUACAUAUUCACUACUGCAGAAGACUGUCAUUUGUAUCGGCUCAUACGUGCCAGGGCAAAGGUCACCCUUGCAUUAAGUACAUUUGCACGGUAAAGACAACCAACACGAAUAAUGAAGUAAACAUGCCGGUGCUUUUGUACACCAACACGCUUACUUAAAUGUACUGGUGUCAUUCCUCACCGGUAGCCGGCUUGAAAAUUAACCAAUUAGAACAAUUAUUUAUUGUAUCGGUGUGAUUUUUGACCUAUUGGAAUAUGAAUUUGACCGUUACUGCAUUCGUCAAGACUCAAGAGAGAAAUAACUGAUCGGCUUCUUAGAGCGUGUGCAAUGUGAAAUCAAGGACUGGAUGGAAGUUGAAGCGCUAGCACUAGUAGAGAAACGACUUUCCAUCCACCCCCUUUUGUCCCGGUUUAAAGUUGGCUCGGGAUAAAAGGUUCACCAACCGGGACUAAAACUCAGUCACUGGUGGGAGGCUCACCAACCGGAACCUUUUAUCCCGGUUGCAAAGGCUAAUGGGAAAAAAAGACUCUGAGAGGCCUUUUAUCCCGGUUUGAAACACCAACCGGGAUAAAAGACCCCCCUUUUAUCCCGGUUGGUAACACCAACCGAGAUAAAAGGGUCAAGAGCCUUUUAUCCCGGUUGGAAACACCAACCGGGAUAAAAGACCCCCUUUUAUCCCGGUUGGUGUUUCAAACCGGGAUAAAAGGGCCCCCACGAGGUGACUGGAAGGUGACUGGAAGGGGAUUAAAUCGUGGGGGACCCUUUUAUCCCGGUUGGAAACACCAACCGGGAUAAAAGGGGGUCUUUUAUCCCGGUUGGUGUUUCCAACCGGGAUAAAAGGGUCCCCCACGAGUUAAUACAAAAGGAUAGUAUCCCCUACAUAGUCAGAUGUGGUGUGUAGGUGGGAUGGUAAGGAAGCUACGCGCGAGCUCCGGAAUUUUUUUUUUUUUUUUUUGCAGCGUCGGCGCUCUCUACCCUUUUAUCCCGGUUGGUAUUACCAACCGGGAUAAAAGGGGGUCUUUUGUCCCGGUUGAGUGACCCGGGAUAAAAGACCCCCCCUUUUUUCCCCGGUUAGUUUAUCCCGGAUGCAUUUUCGGGAUAAAAGCACCCUACCAACCGGGAUUAAAGCUCACUUCUCUACCAGUGUAGCUUCAUCUUCCGCUGCAAGUUAAUUGCUUGGAUAAGAAGUUGUAGCCGCUGCAAGUUAUAAAUAGUCCCGCUGAUGCUGUGCUCCGAAGUCUAUACUAUAUAUGCGGAAACUAGAUUGCUUUCAGGAUUUUGGGUAACUAAAUUUAACAUUUGUACAUAAAAAUGUUAGUUUACGAAUGUUAAAUCUAGUUACCCAAGCAGAACAAGAAGAUAGUAUAUAGUAUAUACUAUAUAAAUCAAGUUAACAAUUAGUCUAAAUGUUAUAUCUACUUACCCAAAAUAUUGAAAGCAAAGAAAGAAUAAGUAUAUAUCUUUUGUUGGAAAAUUGGUCCACGGAGAGGCCCAUUUAGGCCUCGUUCGUUUCACCGGGAUGGGAUUCCAGUCAGGAUUACUUCCAAGUUCGGUUUGAGUGAUUCCACCCGUGUCACUCAAUCCGGCUAGGAUUCAUUCUAUGGGUGAGGAGGUAUGGUUUCAAUCCAGGCCAUCUAAUGUAGAAGGAUUCCAAUCCAGGCCGGUUUUCGUUCCAGGCCAGACUAAAACGAACAACACUUUCAAUGCAAGUCUGGUUUCAAACCGGGCCAUUUCAAACCACCCGGAAUGGACCUCGUUCCAGGCCAAUCCGGUGAAAACAAAUGAGGCCUUAAUGGAAUCCCAAAGCAAGAGUUCAGUGGCAUUCUAUAGUCCCAUGCUGCUAGUUUGAGUUGGUCGAAGCCAACUUAAAUAGGAGAGCUCUCUCACUUCUCUAAAUACGUAACUGAAGGAGAGAAGGGGGCUUGGGUUACACAACGCACGCACGCACGCAUAUUUGCGUUCUUUUCGCGUAACCAACCGCGUGACUUGAAACUUGCGACGUAGCGUGCUGCUAAGUCAAGUUGAUAUAACCUUUUUGCCGUUUGCAUGUAAUCUUUUGACAACGGUCAUUGGAGGUGAUAAGCACGCAGUCAAUACCUUAAUCUUGAGUUAAUAGGGUGGUUACUACUGCCAAUUAGUGGGGCAAUUUUGUAGGGGAAACGGUUAGCAGAGGGCUACCGUCUUCUCUAUAAGAAGUUCUGGAGACGUCCAGGAACACACAUGUACAUGUGAGAGACCCACAAAUUCCUUCCCUUCUCCCUUUUCCAUGUGGUGAAGUGUGCUGUGGUACUGAGCUGCUUGAUCUCGCCGCUCUUCUCCUUGGCAUGCACCGAGGAGGAGGGUGAGCGGUAUCUCCGAGCUAUUGCCGUCAGGAAGCCUGCACGAGGGACAACAAAAAGUUUUUGGGUAGCGCAACUGCCAGCACAACUCUCCCUCCGCCUCUUCUUCACGGUUGAUGGCCACCACAAGCAUAAACCUCGCCUUCGCAUCCACGCAAAAGGGUCGCUGGGGUGCCUUCUUGCAUCGCUUCUCAGCCUCCUUGACUUGCGGCCAGCCAAGAACUGCGCCACCACCUCGGGUGCACGCCACCACUCCAGGGCUGCUACCCCAUGCCUGCGGCCGCCGCCGGCCACCACGCGUGUGCAACCGCGUCGCACCGCUUCCUUGCUUUGUGCCACCACUGCUGCUGUACCACCAGCUCCACCACCUUGGGCUGGUCGCCAGAGUGACUGAUAACUUAUUAUCUGUAACUACUAUUAACUCAGGGAUACAUGCGUCUUUUGCUUCUCCUACUAAUAUGUCCUAAAAUAUCUAGGAUGCCUUAUAUUUCUGGACAGAGGAAGUAUUUGAAUAAAAUGAACCAAUUUAAAAAAAUGUGUUGUACACUACUACAGAAAGACCUAUCAGUGUCAAACCCAAAAAUGUUGUCACCGCCAGUUUUGGGCAUCAUUGGUGAAAGGUUGGCGGUGAUGGGCUUUCCCUUCAACAACGGCACUGGAGCCGACGGUGAUUGACAUUAGAAAACAAAAAAGGGGACCCUACCUAGCCACCCCUGCAACCCGGCCGGCCGUGCCUCCCCUCAUCCCCACCACCUCGCCUCCCCAUGACCCCCCGCCGGCGCCCUUGCGCCUAGCCCCCUCAACUGCCCAGCCGGCCACCCUCAUCACGAGAGAGAGGUGCAUGUUGUAUAAUUGCGUGAAUUUUUUAAUGUUUAAUUUCAUGUAAGUUCCGUGUAAUAAAUUGUACAAGUUUUAUUGUAUAUAUGAAUUCCAUAUAUAUAUAUAUAUAUUUAUAAUUUAAUGUAUGGUUUCAUGUGUAUAUUUCAAUCAUGUGUAUAUUUAGUAGAUUGCCGAUUUUCUUUUUCUACUAGACAAGGGUUGAUGUAUAAUUACGUGUAUAUGUUUAUUGUACGGGCAAUUAGGACAAGUUUUGUAUAAAUUUCUUUUAUUUGAUGGUUGUUGUAUGGUUUCAUGUAUAUACAUUUAUUGUACUACUUUAGACAAUUUUUAAUUUAAUGUUUCUAUGAUUAGAUGUGUGUAUAACUAAUUGUAUUAUUAGUUAAGAUGGGAGCUAAAGAGGAUGAAAGGUAUAUAAUGGAGCAGAUUAUUGCUAGCUCAAACGUUGCAAGAACCUACACCGAGGGUGAGGGUAGCUAGGUGGACAUGUACCUCAACAUGUCCAGUGAUGGCAAUGACGAUGAGGAGCACGAGCAUGACAUCUAUGAUAAUGCGGAACAAGACAUUGCAGAAUUGGAAGGUUCUAAUGAGGUGUGCUUCAUGUUGACAAUCUAGUUGGCUUUUUUUCGUUGGUCACACCUUAGUUACCAUAGAACUUCGUCUCGGGAGAAGAUUGGUGGUGGUAUGGUGAUUGGAAUUUUAUUUCCACGAAAUCUGAUUUCCAUCGAAUCAUAUCCCUUGUAUUUAUCUUCUUUUUAUUUGUGAGAGCAUCUUCUUUAUGCUUGCAAAACAAUUCAAGUGCACAUACUACCCCUAGGGUGACGAUUGGGAGUAGAAAUAAUUGCCAACAAAACAACACCACAUCCUAAGAUUCUUAACUUGUGGCAUAAUUAGUCUAGUAAAAAGAAAGAUAAAAACCUAAUGGGUGUAUGUGAGUGCAAUGUGUAUAUGCAUAUGAGUGGAAGGCAUAUAAGCAAAGACAAUAUUUACACAUAGUUCUAAACACCAUGUUUACAGCUAGGUUGCUGAAUUUCUCCAUAGCCAUAGAGAUUAAUUAACCAAGGUCAAAACACGAUGUCUAUCCCAAGAUCAGUAAUUAUUUAUAGCACAAGAAAAAGAAAGCGCAUUGCAAAGUUUAUAAACCAACCAAUACAGCAUGAAAACAAGAUGAAUAGCUAGCAAGGUUUAUUAAACUGAAUGAUGACGGUCUGUAAGCAAGUUUAAACACCAUCUUUACACAAGAUUGCAAAUGGAAAAUGCCCAUAUGAAGCACUAACAUGGAUAUGAAAUCAUUCAUCAUAAAGCGUAAAGAACAACCAAGCCAACCAUAUGCAAAGCAUGAAUGGAAUGCAAUGAAGGUGCAAGAGAACAUUUUUGGAUGAACACAUUAUGAUGAUGGCAAAAUGCAAUGCAUGCAGAAAAAAUAAAUAUGAACAUGAAUAUGAUGAUCAGGGGCGGACCCACUAUUGUGGCCUGGGUAUUCCUCGGCAUACCCAAUAUUUUUGGGAAAAUGUUUAGUAGUUUUUAAUGGCAUAUACAUGUAUAAUAUAGUUUAGGUGUUAAAAUUGAUAUUCACAGCUAUUUUGGGCUCCAAUUCGCGUCCAAACCAACCUGGCCCACAGACCGCACCCGGCCGCCCGGCCCAUCGGCCCAUCUUGUCACUGAUCCUCCCACCACCACACUCAGCCCGUCAGUUAGUCAGGUCCCGAGCUCCUGCCUGACCUAGUCCGCUACCACCGCCAGGCGCCAGGCACAGCUGUACACGCCGCCCCCGUCCACCCACGUCCGCCGCACGGCCGCGUCGCGCCCCCCCCCGGCGCCCGCUGCUGCCAGAACCCAUUAGGCCUCCACCGGCAAGUCCACCCACAGUCCCGCGCGACGCGGCAGCCUCUUGGCUCUCGGCGCUCGCGGCGCGCCAAUGCCUGCGCAGCCCCAGCAGGCGACUGCCCCCCCCCCCCCCGCAUCGGGCCUCGGCCCCUCCCCAGCUCCCCCUCCCCCCUCCACCAGGACUGCCUGCUGGCCCCCACCGCGAGGUAAUCGAAAUGGACUGCUCAAUCUCUCAAUCUGUUGACAUGAUGCACACGGUUGCAAAAAUAGAUGUGUCAAAAUAGAUGUAUUGCCAAUUGCUAUAGAUGCAUAUGGUUGACAUGAAGAAGUCAAAAAUGACAUUUGGUUCCUUGUAGGCAGUCAAAAAUGAAGAAGUCAAACAAUAUUGAUCUGAAAUCAAUGCGGGAAAGGGCUACGAAGACACACGGGUAGAUUCCCUUGUGAACUUUUUAUGUCGUUCGUCUAAAUAUAUUUUUGCAAUGGGCAUACCCUACUCUGAAAUCCUGGGUCCGCCACUGAUGAUGAUGGUCUAAACAUAAAACAAGCCUAGAUUAAUUAGCUACAACUGAAAUUAAGCAAAGGUUAAUGUCAUUGACCCUAGCUCUAUCCUAGCUUUUACUAAAGUCCCGGCACAUAUAGUGGUUGGGCCCACUCUCUCUACUUCCCUCUCUGCUGCAUGCACACACACGAGCAACUGGAGGCCCAACAAAGCCCAGAAGGGUUCGGCCGAACCCGUCCGAUCCAGUCUGAGCGCCGCUCCCUCCCAGCCUUCGCGCAGAUGCUCCUCCAACGUUCCUUGACCCCUCCCUCAGUGUCCCAUUGGGUUUAACAUUGUAGGAGAGGAGUCCCUUUUUUAAAAUCUCAACCACCUCCUCUCCUCAUUCACUCCACUCUCAUCUCCAUCAAACUCACCAAGAUCCACAUCGGAAAUACCUGCUUACCACCAUGGCUGGCAAAGCCCUCGUCCCUUUCACCAACUUGGGCUUGACCAUUGAUCUCGAUGGGAAAAUCACUCCAGCAAAUGUCAUUGUCCCUGUCGGCGAUCUGGCGAUGGAGGAGGUCCAGGCACUAGAGGUCGAGCCCCUAGCCAUCAUACCGCCCAAGGGGUAAAGCAGGAGCAUGACAGGCGCUGCUAGGGGUUCAGCCGAACUCCCAGUUCAGCCAAACGAGGACGGCGUCGCCUCGGCCUCCCGCUCGACUGCAUGCUUCCCCUUGCCAAGGAGGACUCCAGAACAGCGGGCGCGUGCGUCAAGUCCCUACAAAAGGCUGAAAUACAAUGAAUAUCCAGGGUCACCCUUGAAGAUGGGUGAACGCUACGCCGGGUCCUUGUUUGACUAGUACGGCGAUGCAUUCUGCCACCGCUAUGUCGUUGUCGAGAUUAGCGGAUCAAGACUUAGACUAGUAAAUUUCUUUUAUGCGCGUAAGGCUUCAGAUGGUGGCGUGGGAGACAUGGGUUUUAUACUAGUUCGGGCAAUGGAAUACCCUACGUCCAGUGUCUGGAGCUGCUUGUGUUGCCCACGCGGGGUUCUGUAGUAGGGGUUACAGGUGUGCGAGAGAGGGAGCUAAUCCCAGGUCUCUUAGGCGUGUUCCGGUCCUCUAGAUGGGAGAAGUGUGUUCUGUUUGCUUGGGAGUAUCGGUUGUGUCUGAGUUGUCUCCGGAGCCUCCUCCCGUCUCAGGUCCCCGAUUCUCCUUUCAUAGCACAAGGAGACCAUCGGGGUUACAGACGAGACCGAGCGUGGGGAGGAGUAAAGAGAUAAACAUAGCUAGGUAAAAAUACAACAAGAAAGGGGGGAACCAAGUUUCUAGGUCACCGGCGUCCUCGCCGGCCUUCGACUUCCGCCGGCGCAUUUGUCGGAGGAGGGUGGCCGCCAUCGCGUUCUGUCGAUGGCUUCCUCGGUGACUGUAGCCACCGGGCGUGAUGAUGGCAUUUCGUCGUGACCCUUUGUCUGUUGGGGGAGGCGGCGGAUCCUGCCAUUCUGCUGACGGCUCGCGGAGUGCGAACGUCGCAUCCCUGCCGCUGGGCACGCGGGGCGCGAGAACGUGCGAGGCUUCCCCCUACCCCAGGCGGCGCAGGCCAUGAGUGCCCUGUGGCAAAUCGGAGGAGGCCGCAGCUACUGUAGCUUGUACUGUGCAGCCACGUAUGGGUACUUGUGGCAGGUUGCGUGGUGGAUGCGGAUAUCCUUCUCCCUGACAGAUCUGCGGCGCAUUUAUGGCGAGAUCGACAUGGGGACCCACAAGACCCGCGCCCAAGGCGGAUACUUGUCUGGAGGGCCCGGGUUAGCCUGACCCCCUACGCUUGGGGUCGGGCGAGGCGGAGACUUGCGGCGGGGCGUCGGACGCUCCCGACACUAGACCUGCGGUCGCGCAAGGCGGAGCUUGGUCUUCCGGGGGUCGGGGGUGCCGGACCCCAGGAUGCGGGGUCGGGCGAGGUGGAGCGUAAUUCUUGCCUCCCAUGUUGGGCCGAUGGCAGUCUUUGUUACCUCUAGUGGGCUUGGGCCUUUAUGUUUUGUUGUUUCCAUGGGCUUCGAGAGGUCGUUAAUAUUUCCCCCCAACAGUAGCCCCCGAGCCUGUGGUGGAGUGGGGGCGCUCCUCCGGAGGCUACUAUCAUCGCCCCUAGGGAAUCCUCGCAGUUGAUCCGGGAUAGGAGGUGUUGUUUGCACGGCUUGACCGAGGGGGUCGAUUAGGCGACGCAUCCUGUGAGCGACUCGGUGCGGGAGGGUUUCUUGUUGUUCCCUUCUGUCUGAGAGCCUUAAGUCGAGACCACCUGCGUGGCCUUUGGUUGCAAGGCCAGCCCCCGAGCCCCCGCACGUUGCAGGGGACCGGUCGGAGGCUAGGUCGACUUUUGUUCAUUACCCUCAAGCGUCUGUUCGCUAGGACGGAGGGGGCGAGCCGUGCCAUGCUAUCCUCAUCGGACGAACCAUGGUGCUCAUUGAGUUACUAACGGGUUGAUUCGAGUGGGAUCCCGGUCCCCGUUCGGGGGGGGUCCGGCUUGGGCCAAGCUGGUGGCGUACCCCAGGCUCCGGUCGGCCAGUUCAUAUAGUUCCUGAGUCCGUUCGGUCGGACCGGGGGCUCAUUGCCUUUCUUCGGGGAAAAACCAUGAACUUUGAUGCCGGUCCAGACUCGAAUGUGAGAUUGAGACGCCCGGGGCUGUCGCGUGCCCGGGUGAUGGCCGCUAGCGGACCCGUCUCCUCUCACCCCUCACUCGGGGGUAUCCUGAGGCGGCUGUCGAACCCGUGGCGGGCCAGCCUUCGAACCUCUGGAUCGUAAUGGGCCGUAGGGGCGUUUUCAGCCCCGUAUCCCUUUUUACCUUUUGGUGGGCCUUGGGCCGAAUCAUGGAGGAGGUCGGGCCUUGGGCCGGAUGCGGAGGAUGUCGUGCCUUGGGCCGGAUGUGGGGGACGUCGUGCGUGUCUUCCGGGAGACGAAGUGGUGGAGGGUGCCAACCCGCGAAUCGAGGGAGGAGGGGAUGUUUCUACUGCAGGUCAUGCGCACGGUUUCCGAAAAGGCAGCGGGCGUGACGGGACGUACCUCGCGCCGCAUUUAUUGCGAUGGGGGCGUCUGUUCUGCUUCCCUCGUGCCUUCCCUAUAAAACGAGGACUUCGCCUCGCCGGUUCCGCCCGCCAUCUACCUUCAAGCCUUUUCGCCUCCUCGCGCGCCCUUAGCUUUCCUGUGCCCGCUUCGUCUUCCUCCGCCCAGUGCCGCGCCCUUUCUCCCCAUCCGCCGUCGAGUUCUUCUCCCUCCGGCGAUGGGAUCCUGGGCGCGUUCCCACUUCGGCCCCUCACGCGCCGAAGGCCUAGUGAGGAAAGGCCUCCUUUGCGAGAGGACGGAGACGGAUGAGUGGGGGUUCCCUGAGAUGGAAGAGGUGCCGACUCCGCCCACCGGCUACGUCGUUUCCUUUGCCCACUUCCACGAGAGGGGGUUUGCGACUCCGCCGAGCCUCUUCUUCCGCGGGCUUUUGUAUUACUACGGGCUUGAGCUGCAGCACCUCAACCCCAACGGGAUUCAGCACGUCGCGGCGUUCGUUGCGGUGUGCGAGGGGUUCCUGGGCAUUGAGCCCAACUUCUCGCUGUGGAAGUACUUCUUCACGGUCAGCCUAUACCAGAAGGCCGAGAAGAGGGGAAGCCAGCAGCGGUCGACCCCGGUGCCGAUAGGGUGCGUCGGAAUCCACCUCUGCCAUACUCGCGCCAAGGAGUAUAUCGCGAUGAAGACCGCGGCAUCCCACAAGGGGUGGCACCAGCAAUGGUUCUACGUGAAGAACUACUCCAACCCCCCCUGCCGGAGUUCACCGGCCGCAUUAUUGAAGCGGCGCCGGAGGUGUGGGUGUACGGCCCGGUGGAGAAGGAGAAGAAGCGGAUCACCGGCCUGCUGCAGGCCAUCGAGCACCUGAAGGAGAGGGGACUGACCGGAGCCGGAGUCAUCGGGGCGUACCACGCCCGGCGGGUGGCGCCGCUGAUGCUCCGGGUCCGCUCGCUCGCCGACAUGACCCCCGGUGCUCUCACCGAUGGCACUGUCCUCGCGACGGGUGCUCUCGCUGCCUCCGAGAUCCGGCAGCGGAUCCGGGAGGCGCUGGAGGACAAGGACGCCGAUUACCCGGUGCCCGGCCACCCUCCGAUGCGCCCGGACGAGAAUUUCAUUGAUCUGGUAAGGAUUUUGCGCGCCAGUUUCCCUCUCUUGCGUUUCUUGGUAUGCCGUUCUGACGCGAGGCCCUCUGUGUUUGCAGGGUAGCAUGACCCGGGUCGUCGACUUGCGUCCGCCAGUGUCGGAGGACGCCGAGUGGCGGUAGCAGAACCGUCUCCUUGCCGAGAAGCAAAAGUGACGCAAGGACAAGAGACAGCGAAGAAGAAGAAGAGGGCCGCCAAGGAGUUCCAGCGGCGGCGGUGGGGAUAGGUCGUGUCGGAUGACGAUGACGAUGAGAAGGAGGAGGAGGAUGACGAGGAGGAGGAGGAGUUUAUCCUGUCCCCCCGGUCAGGGGCGCUUGUUAUCCGGGAGCCGCGCUCCCAAGCGGCCAUGGGGGACAAGGCGGGCGAGCUGCCUGCCCGGACCCGAUCCUGCGAAGCUUUGGGGGCGCGCCCCAGGGGUCGGCGCAGAGCGCCCCCCGGGGGUCGACGGAGCCGACCCCCAUCCCUACACCUGCAGCCCAGGAGCAGAGGAGCAGCGACAAGCGGCCGUUGCCAGAUGCCCCGGGGUCGGCGUCCAGCUCAGAGGCGAAGCGCGCGCGCCGCCCUUGCGCUGGGGGAACGUGAGUUGAAUUUCCUUGCGAAUCUCGUUCCUUUCCAUGCAUUGUGUUUGUUUCCGCUGAUGCUGUUUGUUGUCUCACAGCACCGCCCCUCAAGGCCUUGUCCCGCCGUUGGCGCCAAAGAAGGCGUUGCGGUGUUGUCGCCUCUGCGGGGCGGACCGCGGCUCCGCCGGCGGCGAGUGGCGGGGUCACUGGUGAGACCGCGGGUCCUACCGCGGAGGUGGCCCCUGCGGCGGCAACCGGUGGAGUGGUGCCACCGCCGGGCAUGGGACAGGGUCUGGACCCCGCUCCGUCCUCCGCCUCUUCGGCCGACCCCGCGGUGCAGAGUAUCGCUCCUGGGGGCCCUCAGGCCGGGGAGGUGAUUGACCUCGACGCCGACGAGGUGGAGGAGACGGCGGCGGUGGAGACGGGGGCGGUUGCCCCAGCGGCCAUGACGGGGACGACGACGGCGACGGGGGAAGGAGAGUCUACCCCCGCGGCCACGGCGGGGACAGUGGCGACAGAGGAGGCGGGGACGCCCGCCCCGGCGGCUGCGACGGAGGAGGCGGCGGUGACGGAGACGGGGGCUUCCGCCCGGGAAGCCACAGCCGAGGUGGCAGCGGCGACGGAGGUGAAAGUGCCUGUUCUGGAGGCCACGGUGGGGGUGGGGACGCCUGCCUCGUGGCCACGACGGAGGGCGAGGCGGCCCCAGGGACACUUGCUCCGGCACCCGCGUUGGAGGCGGUGGCGCCGACGGGUUGGCCCGUGGCGGCCUCGACGGGGGCGGGGGUGCGUGCGCCGGGACCGUCGGUGAGGCCGGCGACUUCCGGGAUGGUGGUGCCCGUCUUGACGGCGGCGGCGGCGCGGUCGGCCCCCGCCCUUGCCUCUACCACUCCCAUUCCCAAGGCGUGGAGCGGAUCCGUCCUGCGUUGGUCGUCUCGUGACGACCCGCAGAGGCCCCUCUUCACGUUGGAUGAUGCCACAGAAUGGGGCAAGUGGCAGGCGCUGCAGGGCGGACUCGCUAACGUCCGCGCCGCUCUAUCUUCGGCGUUGGGGGAGCUGGACGGCGUCAUCUUCCCCGGUGGCCGGGUAUGGUGCUUUCUCCGUUGGUUAUUUUCUUCCCGUUACUUCGUCCCUGAUGGCACAUUGUUCUGCAGGCCCUCCAAGAAUGUAGCCGGGGAAAAUCUGAUUUCCUUUGGCUCGAGCAGGGGCUCUGGGAGCGCUUCAACUUGGAGUUGCAGCGGACCGGGGAGCUGACCAUGCAAGUCGCCACCGUCUAGCAUGUCAUCGACGAUCUGCGAAGGCACGAGCAGGCGGCACAGGAGGACGCGCGGCGGGCGGAGGCCAAGUUCCAGGUCGUUGCCGAAAGGGCUCGCUGCGACCGCGAGGAGUUCCAGGCCGUUGCCGAAAAGGCCCGCCACGACGCUGAGGAGCUCGCACGGCUGAAGGUGCAGCAUGAAGCUCUUCAGAAGAGCGGCAGAGGGCCUGGCAGGACCGGGACGCCGAGAAGGUCCGGAAGGAGGAGGCUGAGAAGGUGGCGGCCAACCUUGGGGCUGAGGUCAGCCAGCUCCAAGUGCAAGCGCGAGAGCUUCAGGCCUCCGUGGCCCAGGGGCUCGACCAGGAGCGCCAGCUGAAGGCCUAAUCCGAGGGUAUGACUCUGUUUAUUUCUUUGUCUUUGUGAUGUUGCGGUGAUAUUUUAUUUGGCGGGUUCUUCUGGAUGAUCCUUGCAGAUGAGCUCAACUGGCUGAGGGAGGUGCUUGACGCGGAGCGCGCUGAGCACGGCGACCUGCGGGACGCGGUCCGCGUCAUCUGUGACUUCCUUAGUGUGGUCCAGGGGGAGGGGACGAGCUCGCUGGCGGCUCGUGUCCUCGGGACGUACCGCCGGACCAGCGAGAUCGCCCUGGAAGCGCUUCGCACCGGCUUGAGGCAAGCCUUUGGGGUCUUCGGCUCCCACUAUUCCGGCAUCAACUUCGCCGGGAUGAGCGGGGGAUACGCCACCGGCUACUACGAGGCCGAGCUGGAUGAGAUCGACGUGUCGGUGCUCAGCCCGGCGGAGGCCUUGGUGAAGCUCCUCGAGGAUGAGGCCGUCCCGCCCGAAGAUCCCCGGACGAGUUAACUAUAUCGGGCUGGCGCCCCAGAUGUAAAUACGUUAGGGAAAGACUUGUUUUUUGUGAGGGCCGUAGAGGCCUUUUCUAUGAAUUGUCGUAAAAAAGUUUUUGAUUCCCUUUCUUGCUUUUUGGACUUGGAAAGUUUAGAGCACGUUGUCGGGCGUGUCAGUAAGCUUUGAUGAGCGAAGGCACCGUAGCCGCUGGGGCGUCGUUUUUUUUGCAGUCCGAUCAAUCUUGCCUGAACACCGUUCGUGCACUUUCUCCUUUUUAUGCCCAAAAGUUCAGAAAGAGGGUCGGCUCGGAAAGAGAAAGCGUUUUGAGAGGGUGUCAAGUGGCUUAGGUACUUGCGGCAGGUUGCGUGGUGGACGCGGAUAUCCUUCUCCCUGACAGAUCUGCGGCGCAUUUAUGGUGAGAUCAACAUGGGGACCCACAAGACCCGCGCCCAAGGCGGAUACUUGUCUGGAGGGCCCGGGUUAGCCCGACCCCCUACGCUUGGGGUCAGGCGAGGCGGAGACUUGCGGCGGGGGGUUGGACGCUCCUGACCCUAGACCUGCGGUCGGGCGAGGCGGAGCUUGGUCUUCCAGGGGUCGGGGGCGCCUUACCCCGGGAUGCGGGGUCGGGCGAGGCGGAGCGUAAUUCUUGCCUCCCAUGUUGGGCCGACGGCAAUCUUUGUUACCUUGGGUGGGCCUGGGCCUUUAUGUUUUGUUGUUUCCAUGGGCUUCGAGAGGUCGUUAAUAUUUCCCCCCAACACUAUGAGGAGGACUUGUGGGCAGAAAGUCAGCUACCACAAACUUGCCUCUGAAUAUUUGGAGUGCAAACAUUGGAUGGUGGUUGUGGAGAGCCCCAGCCAUACCUCGCACCCGUGGAGAGGUAAUUGUCGGAUUGCUUGGUUCGUCUCUAGAAUGCGACAAGGUCAGGCGCCACCUCUCACUGCUGCCAGUCAGAAGGCCGAGGGGCCAGUUUCAACAUAGUAAUGAGAAUCUCCGAAGGCCAAUAUGGUUAAGCAGCUAACCUCCAUGAUCAUAGACUUACGUUUAGAAAAUAGGAGGCUUAGCGAUGCGUUAACAGAGCAGAAGUUAGAAACAGAAGAACUUAAGGACGACUUCCGUGUCCUCCGCCUUGGUCUUUGUGCUAAGAUAAAGCGCUUGUACAAUGCCACGGGGAAUGACGGUCUCUACGAUGCAGCUCAAUAGACGUGCCCCUUGUAUCCUUUCCUUUAGGCACUUUAGAAUAUGUUUAUUUGUUUUCCUUCAUUUUAAUUUCCAAUAGAUUGUUAGCGCCUCCAAUUUAAUUUCAAUAAAGUGUAGACUCACCGGUCAUCCAACUUGAUGGAGUCCUUUUGUCACCUAGUUGUCUUUGGAAGAAGUAGCUGGGUACAAAAUAAGUGUGGGGGAGAGCCACAGACUCUCUAGAGCUGAAACAAUGCACAACACCCACAAAUAGAGAAAACCACGCUGCACCAGCACGUACGUGAAAGUGGAGCCAGAGCUGGACCCAUAGGGGUUUGGCCAACCCAAGGGGUGGCCCACUCGGGCCAUCUUCAUCCACCGCGUCGGUUUGUGUCUCUUUACCCCUGAUCUCCCUGAUUCAUGAGUUUGAAUGAAUUUUAAAUCUGAUCAACUAAUUCAAACUCAACUAAAAUGAAUCAACUGCUCCACCUGCUCUACAUGUUUUCUAUGGUUGGCUUGCAUAUGUUUUAUUUCAUGCUUAUCAUCUUGAUGCUUGUGAACAAAUAUCUUUAGGACAGCAUGCUCAUCUAAGUAGUUGAUGUGUAUGAUAUGGUUCGAUGAUAUGAUCUUCACUCUUAAUGCUUAAGUGCUUGGGAAAAUCUAUUUGAAAAUUUAAAAGCCUUUUUGAAAUCUCCUCUUUGAUGUGCCAAAGUCCUACCAAAGCCAUAUGAUAAGUUAUCUUGAAAAACCAUUUGCAUAUGUUGCUUGUCUUUGCAUUGAGCUUUGUCAAAUUGGUGUGACCCUUGUCACAAUUCUUUUCAUACUUUCAUGAUCAAGACUCAUGUGCACGCCAUAUACCCCUUGCUAUGCUUCUAUGAGAUGUUAGCAUUGUACCAUCCAUUCAUUCCACAAAAUAAAUGCUCCACCAUAUGUGUUGGUCUCCUUCUAAGAUUAUUGUUACAAAAGAGAUAUGGGCUAUCAAAAAAAAAUAUGAAUGUCCAAGAAAGUUGGACACAUGAAUGUCCAAUAAAAAGAAAAAGAAAGAUAGCCAUGUCCUCAGAAAUAUUUACAAAGGGAGAGAGAUCAUACAAAAAGGAGUUUCCAUUCCAUCCACCACAUCCAUACAUGUGCACAUCUUGAUCUGAUUGUAUGACUUAUUUUUCUCUUUGGAUCUGGUCUUUGACUUUGCAAUAUAUGUGAUGCAAGCAUGCCUUAUCCUUCAUAGCCUACCUUGAGCUCCACAUAUAGCCAUCAUUAGAAGUAGGAUGAAGAAAGGCAAGUCUAAUGCCUUGGUGAGGACAUAUACACAUUGAGUGAUCUGAGAGAAUCAAAUGAGGAGCUAAGCAAGGUUUUGUUUUGAAAACUAAUUGAAAAAUCCCAAGCUACUUGGCAUAAGGAGUUGAGGUGACUUGAUUCAAGACCAUUACAUUCCUCAACUACCCAAGAUGGCAUGAUAGACACUCCAAAGUUCACAAGUGCAGGUAUGGUUUGGAAUAUCUUUUAGGCUCGCUUCAUACCUUUGAAAGUUAUGUUUCACCUUAGUCCUUUCUCGUUCACUCAAGGAUAAGCAAAGGCUAAGUGUGGGGGUGUUGUUGAUGGCUCUUAAGUACAAAAUCUGCGCCAUCAACUCUUGCAUAAACACAUAAAAUAUGAGCAUCAACAAUAGUGGUAGGAGUUAUUACAAACGAAUUCCACAAGUCUUGGUGAAUAUUUGUAUGCAAGCCCAAUAGGAGAGAAAAGACACCUCAAAAGCAAGGAAACACACUCUCAACCAAUCAAGAGCAAGCACAUGGAACCAUGGGCCCACAACCAAAAGGAAAUCGACUACAUUCCAAACACCCUAUACCCACAUGAGAACCCAUAGGGCAGUGACCCAGAGCAAAGGUGAUGCCAGAGUGUAGAUGGUAGUUAGCAUGCCAAAUUUUGAACCGCAAGCGCUCGGAUUAGUUGUUUCUUUUCCCUUAGAGAUUCCCCCAAGGUUUAUCAAUCCAUGGAACAAGGGAUUUGCACGUUUCACUAAGCACUAAUCAAUGUAAUUGAAAGCUUUUCGAAUAAGAUAUGAUUAUGCUAACAAAGGAACUAAGCAAUCUAGAUUAAGAUGGAUAGAGAGUACAGGUUGUGAACAAGAUAGAUUAAACGCUUGUAGAUGCAAUCACCAUGCAUGAAUGAAUUAGAUCUAGGUGUUAUUGUGAGUGGUUGUGAACCAUGCCCAACACUUUCCCACCCGCAACAUUGUCACUACAUGUGGGUACUCAACUAUCGGAACAUAAGAACACAUCAAGAUGAUCAUUCUAGGUAAGCAAAUAAGCAACCCAAAGUAGCGCUGGCCAGCCUUUUCAUGAAAGAGCAUCAUCAAGAUAAGAUUGAUAACAAAAUAGAUCUCAACCAAAGGUUCAGCGAUUACAAAUCAAGAUCUUCGUAUAACCCCGAUGACAAAUAGAGGUAUUACCCCCAUGAUCUUACACAUGUUGAUGAAUUUUAGGGUAAAGGACACCCUGUAGAUCAACUGGACCAAAGAUGAUGAUGAACGGGGGCAGGGAAGGCCCAGGUUGAUCAGCCUGCGCACUUUUGAGCCGAUCAGCUCAGGGGGUUUCCUCCUCCCCUGGUGCUCCUCUUCGCGUGGCCUCCUCUGGAUCCAAUCUUCUCUUCAUUUCUCCUACUUGUGGCGGCAAUGGAUGGUGUUUGCAUGGUGAUUUCCUCUUCUCCCCAACUCUCCCUCCUUGAAGUCCAUGAGGGGGUAUUAAUAGUCUCCAAUAGGCGGCAGCUCUGGGUCAAUGUCAGUGAAAAAAUCCUAGAGAUCAUCGUACACUUCAUGCUGAGGAAACAAGAGGUUGACCGAGCCCUGGGAUAGACCAAGAGGAUCAUCCUAGAGGGUCCCAGGCUAAUCGGUCUAGGCCCUUCCUAGCCCUUCUAGUCCUCUCCUUCCUCGUGCUGGCUUUUCUCGAUGACCCUUGUCCAAAUAUCCAUGAAGCUCUAUAUACAUACCCCCUUGAUUAUGUUGUAUUUCCUGUCAAAAUACAAUGCUCCAAAAUACAACACAUAUGCAAUAAUAGGGUUAUUUCAGGUGCCAAUUGGUGGGUUAGUAUACGAAUAAGCAUGAAAAUACUGUUUAAAUGACACUAAAAGUGUGUCAAUAACGAGCACCAACAAUCCCCCCACGCUUAGAUCUUGCUCGUCCUCGAGCAAGUCUAGCGACUAAAAGAUCUUGAAUUAAACCUGAGCAAGCGAGUCAAGUACCUAGCCUUGAAACAAAAGAUUAGAGGAGCAGCAAAGAUAAUCAAAGUCUGGGUGUUCAAAGAUUUAUCUAAGCAAAGAUUCCCCUACAACUAUUAUUCAGAACCAAGUAACUUCAAAAAUCAACUACACUUAUUUUCUGGCUUUUUUCAGAGGGUUUUUCUUUCAUCAUAAAACAAUCUCCCUGCAACAAAAUUGAAAAAAGAAUUAUUUUCAAGGUGCUUACAUGUCGCUUAAAUGAAUGUUGGCUAUCCUACUUAUUUGCAAGCUCUCAUCUCUCAAAAUUCAUUCAAUUAUAUGGUGGAGUUUGGGUAAGGUUAGCUAGAAUCAACACGUAUAUUAUUGAAUUAAGAAAACCCUCUAACGGUGGCCUACCUUCCGAGCCAUUGAUCAUAAGAAUAUCCACAUAAUGUGAAGUUUUCAAGGAUGAGAAGAUAUAGAAUGGUGGACAUGUGCAAAGGCAAAGAAAUAUAGUGACUCUGAGGCACAAGCAAUGUCCUCGUCGUUGGAUUGCAUAUGGUUGUAAUGAAAAUAUGUUCCUUAAACAAGUCUAUCUUUUCUUUGCACCACUCUUGAUCUUCAUGACAGUAAAAACUCCUCCUUUAUUUCUUUCUCUCUUUUCCUAUUAUUUCUUUUUAUUUGUCUCAAUACUUUUAUUUCUUUAUUUCUUUAUUUUAAUCUCUUCUCUGAACCUCUUCUGAACACCACAUAAUAAAAAUAAGUUUUAGAUCCUUCCAGAGACCUUCCAGGAAUUUGCUACAUGAAAACCGAGGCAAGGAGACCCCAGGCCGAUUGGCCUAGCCACUCCUUUGCUCUCCUCUAGCUCUUCUUUCUGGUGAAGCUUCCUUAUCUUGUAUCUUUCCAAAAAUUUCAUAAAGCUCGACUAGAAACGGAACAGAUCUUCAUAUAAUGAGUUGUGUUCAAGGAAUUGGUAAUAAAAUUGAGAAAUUUGUGGUUCGGGUUUACGAAUUCAGUACAAAAAUAUGAUUGUUCCAAUGAAGAACUCUCAUUACUGAAUAUUGACGAGGCAAGCAUUCAAAGAUGGUAAAAAGGAUAUGAUCAAUUCUCAAAAUUAAAGCAAACCAAGAGAGAGCGAUCCUAAUUCAAUUCAAAGUGUCAAAUGUUGCUUAUGGUGGUAUGAAUAAAUAUUUUUAGGCAUUGGGUAGGAUAAAUAAAAACUCUCAACCUGGUUAAAAGAUAUUGAUCAAUCUUGUUUUUGCAGAGGUUUUAAAUAAAAAAUAAAAUUUUAAAUCACCUCCAAUUCAAAGCCUUACUCAUAAAUCAUAAUCAAAACUGAAGCACUUGAUCAUCAUAAAGCAUGGGUAUUGCAUAAACAAAUCGAUUACUAAAACUCCACAACUACGAUUUAGAAUUCAAGACAAUGCUCAUAAUCUAAAGUUGCAAAGAUAAAAUAAAAGACAACCAAGCCAAGGUAGACACUAAAAACACUUGCACGAUCCUUGAAUUUUAUUCAUGCUUCUUCUCACAAAGACGCUAAAGUAGCCAUGUAGGCCUAAGUCUUCCCAAAAGCUUAAGAAAACUACUACUUUAUCUACUUUUGGUUGAAAUAAAAAGACUAAUCUAGACUCUCACAUGAUUCGACUCGACCAAAUUAGAUCCAAAAACUCAUACGAGCGACGAUCUCCCCCCCCUCACGCUUAAAAUCUACGACCUCCUCGUCGUAGCCAUAUGGAGUACAAGGAAAAGAAGCUUGUAAACGCUCUAAUGACGCUACCCGCACUACUUGCACACGGGAUGGUUGCUGCUUCCUUCGCUUUGUUCUUCCUCAUGUUGCUGCACAUCCCGAAGAGCUUCCUCACGUUCCUCUGCAAGAACUUGAACUCGUCCUCCUGACGGCGAUCAUUAUCUUCUGCCUUUUGAUCCAGAGCUUGUAAGGCUUGCAUGAUGUCAUCGAACGCAUCGAAGAGGUAGUGGAUGUUCUUCCUGCAAGCUGUGGAACAUGUACGAUCAUGCUCCUCCGAUUCUGGCCCGUCGUCUUCUAGAUCCUUCUCUUUGCCCUUGUCUUGACGGUGGCUAUCUUGCUCCUUGCUCGCCUUCUUGCCUUCAGCCCAAUCCCAGUACGUGUUGUCAUCUUCUUCAUCGUCACGGCCUGCAGCACCCUAUGAUCCAUUGUCUAUCUUGUAUGAAAGAAUCAGAAGCUUGUUCUCCUCAGGGUGUCUUGCGCGGUGCAGCGUUUGCAAGUGCAAGACUUGCUAGUUCCUUUUACACAUUGUAAUGUUCAUUGCAUGCUCUAAUUGUUCUACAUUUGUAAUUUCUUGGUGAAGUUUGGUUACUGAUCCACUGUUUGAUUAACUCUUGGGCCCAAACACUGUACUACUUCUGAUUAGAUAUCUGUAUCUUGACUUUGACCAAAAAAAAUAUCCGGCAGUUUUUGCCAUUAAAGUUUCAUAAAUCAUCUUGCAAAAAUCGUACUAUACAACAAGGGACGGUUUAUUAUAAAAUAUACGUUCCCCUUAUCACAUGCCACUUCCACUCAAAAGGCAACGAAUCAGUUUUCAAUCCUGAGUGAGCAAUUUGCUUUUAUUACCGAUGCCUCCUAUUCCCUUGUGCACCAAGUUUAUUUUGGAUAGGGCUGCAAAAAACGACUAACCAGCUCGGAUUCUCCACCUGCAAAACCGCAUCUGCAGCAACCAACCCCACGCGGUGGAAAAAAAAACAAAACCUAGAAACCGGACGGGGGUGGAUGUGGGGCUCGGAGCCCAAGCAAAAAACGGAUCGGGAGCGCCGGAGCAGGCCAUCACCGGAUGUUAGAGAUAGAAAAUGGUUGAAGUUUGGAGUGGAAAUCAAACAAGCCUUGGAGCAAAGGAAAAAAAAAGAUCAAACCACUCAAGCAUUCAUUUGAUUUAGAAAAGAGAACAUUUGUUAAGGUGGGGAGUUGAAAUCAUCUUUUAAUUAGUUCCACGUAUCUGGUAUCAUUACAGUUGGUUUACUUGUGUAAGUAUAAGUAGCUCUGCCGAAGCCUUUGCUCCUAUAAUUUAGUAACUAGUACAAAUGGAUCAAUAGGAAAAUCAAGUUGCAAUCAUUUCUCAGCCAACCAAACCUAUGUAAAUCAAAUUAUUGUCCAUGCCCGGCAUGCACAGGUGCCUGCCAUGCAUGCAUUGUUGCUCCAUUGUAAUAACCAUUAUUGUCCAUCGAUGUUGCAGCGCAUGUGUGCACUGUGCAGACACCAAGCAUCGAGAUUAUGUACUAGUAAGGUGUUGAAAUAAUGGGCCUAGCCCAUAAGUAAUUUCAGAAUUUCAAAUAAAUCUCAAAGGCCCAUGUGGGCAAGAGGUGGAGUGGUGCAAGUCUUUAGUCCCACAUUGCUAGUCGAGGGGAGGGAUGACCAACUUAAAUAUGGAAGUUGUCUCCACUCCUCCAAGCUAUGUGUGAAGGGCGCGGGCGCGAGGCACUUGCGUGAAUGGUCCGCCGAAAUCUGGCCCCCCUUGCGGGGGCGCGGCUUCCUUUUGCCGUUUUAUUUUUUGGUUACUUGGUCGUUAAGUCAUGGAAUCCUAACCGGUUUAGAUCACGAUCGUGAAGGUUUUUGGGAAGCGCUCUGCGCGACUGCUCGAUCGCUUCUUCCGCUUCGUCAAGUUCUUCGUCGACUCCUUCACCACGGCUCGUCUACCUCUUCGUCGCUCGGGCCUCACUCGUCGUCGCGAACAACGUCAGGCUGCUGAUCGUCGUCGCCUGCUGUAUCCGGUAGUCGUCCAGGAGCCGGUUUUCAUCAAGAAAGAAACGUACGGUCUCUUAACUCACAUUAUGUCUUCCAUACUAGCUAUUAUGAUUGUUGCAGUCUGAUAGCUCUGGAUAGUAUGGUAGAAUGUCUGAUUCUAUUUGCAAUGAUAGACUUGUCUAGAUCUUGCGUAGACAUGUCUAGUUUAAUCUGCUGCUUGUUCAUCAUAUUCAUGAUUUAUUUCUGGAUUAAGUUAAAACUAAAAGUGCUUAUAUAUCCAACAUAAGGUACCAAGAACACGUGAAGCACCCGGGGGAGGCUGCUCCACUCCGCAUGCACAGGUGGGCACGGCACCACUACUCGUCUCCUUCAGGCUGAGGAUAAGUGAUGUACGCUGAUCAACAGACCACGACGGAACCAGCAAUAAUAGUUUCAGCCUGCCUCACAGUAAUUAAUAUAUCCUGUAUCCUCCGAGGACCCCUCCCCUUAAUCUUGGCCUAUUGCAUCCAAUAAUGAUAUGUGUGUUUAUCCAAAUUUACGGCACCUUUGGCGGGGGUUCCACCCAGCUCCGCCCUCUCCACCUUCGGUACUCCAUGGGAAACCAUUCCUUUGGAAUCAAGGAAGCUUGAACAGUAUAACGAAUAAAGUUUCAUAUAUCCAUUUGAUUUCACAUGAAAUAAAAUAUUCUGUCAGAACCAAUGGUUUCACUGAAGCUCCAGGCAGCGAGCGAAGGGGUGAGAGAGGAUAACGCUUACUGUGUGUUACCAUCGCGUGCACCAUGGAUGACCAACGCGCAGCCGAGAUGAAACGGCGGACCUAAACAGGUCCUCGCUAUUUUUGCAGGUUCUCGACCAGGCCAGUUCUUUAGGCCAACCUAUCAUUCACGAGUUAAACAUACGGUGGCUGGAGAAAUGUUCUAUUCUUUUAAACAAUACCAGCUGGUUCCUCCGUUUUUAUUCCACCAAUACAAGCACCACCUUGUAACAUUUCCUAUGUUUUUUUUCCUUUCGUCUGUUUUCUCACUACAUGCGUUGCUCUUUCAUGCAUUUUUUUCCAUUCCUGUAUUCCAAAUAGGUCUACAUGAACACAAAAUGAACUAGGGGACAGAAAAAGCCAGUGAAGUUAGUUUUGAGCUUCACCAGCUACUUGCUACAUAAAGUGUGCUAUAGUCGCAGAAAAGCUAAGCUGGAUCAGACGUGGCCGAAACAAUGCCAAAGAGCUAGGUCCCUAGCUGAUGGCAACACAUCAGAUGACUAGCCUGCUUUUCUGUAAUAAUGAUAUUGAGCAAUACACUGCAUGGCUAACCUGCUUUACAAUAAUUGUCAUUUUAUAAUAUUGGUCAUCACGAGAGAUGCACAUUGCAUACACCGGCCCAUCCCUAUAAAUAGCCAAGCCUUUCAGCCAUCUUGGGCACCUCCUCUCAGGGCCUCGUCUCACCAUCAGACAUCUCGUUCCCAGUUAUAAUUUGCGAGGUUAGAUCAGGCUGCGCCAUGGCGUCCGCAACUGCUGUCAAGAUCGUCGCCACCUUCAUGCUGGUGCUGACCAUGGGCCACCUGAUGGCCGAAGCAUCACCGCAGCCUCGGCGUGUGCUUGCAGAAACGGAGCAUGCUGCGGUGUCCGGGAAUCCUGGCCUCCCAGGUGAUGCUAGCGUCAUGCAGGUCCUCGAACCCGCCCUAGUUUCUCGGCUUGCCUGCAAACCAGAGUGCACAGUCCCUUGGCCUCCUUUUGUAUGUAUCUGCUAGAUCCUCUUCCUGGCUCAACGGAACUUCAGGGAAAUGGCUGUGACGUCGGCCAAAGAAUAAAUUGGAUGAACAUAAUAUACCCCGGGUAGUGUAGCUUGGGCUUUUGUUGAGCGUCUGGUGCUAGUUGUAUUUUGUUUGCUCAUGUGGCUUUGCUUCUGGUUGCAUAUUGGCUUUCCUAUCGCUCUCUGUUGCAGCUAUGGUUUCUGCCAGGUGUGUGUUAAUGCGGUUUGUAAGCGGUGCUUGUUCCUACCUUCUGUUUUCAAUAAAAGAAGUCGGAGUCUCCCUCCGACUCUUGUUAUCAGUCAACAAAAAUGAGUUGUAUCAUAUAUAUCUGCGUCUUUUUUCUACGUAUCUUUGGGCUGCUUCAGCUGGAAGUUUAUCGUAAGUACGUGUAUCAGGAUGAUCGUUUGAAUUAAAACGAAAUGAUAAUGUGUGGCUGCUAGAAAUGGAAUGAGCAUCUUACUAUAUUACUAAUUGGAAGCCUCCACGUGAAGCCACCUAGAAAUUCUAGGUGGACGUUUUAAAAAAAACAAAACUCAUAGAAGCCUCCACCACCUAGGAAUCCUAGGUGGACACUCUAAAAAGAGACAAAUCCUAGAAAUUCUAAAAAAAGAAAAAAAUAAUAACAAUAAGAUUUUUUUGCAGUCAAUUACAUAUAUUUUUUUGAGACACCGUGCUGCUAGCUCUUGCCAUUGCGACCAGUAAAGCAAGCAGAUAGUAAGAUGACAUGCGUGUGGAUUGAUUAAAACAAAUUCAGUUAGUUGAUUCUAAAUCGUAUGUAUCCUAAAAGGAAGAUAUGUGCGUGCAUGGUCCCUAGCGAUGACAUGUAGACAUGUAUUGCAAUUUCUUUUUUAAAAAACAUGUCUAUCUCUAAACCAACAAACAGAAAAAAUAUCAAUCUAAAUCUAAAUCUCUUCCGUUCUCACACGCCUAUUAAAGAGAAGACAACCAAUCCCAUCCAUGUUCCAUAGAAUCCAUCUAAAAGCUUGCUCACUGCGGACGGCAUUUGACGGCAAAUCAAUGAAAGAUCAUCCUCUCCAAAUAGCUGGACGGCAUCACCAUCUUUAUCUCACCAACCUACAGAGCUACAACGAUGUUGUAGAGAUCAACUAGGUAACCUACCAAUCACCCUCCCCUUUUCUAUAUGCUCUAAAGAACACGUGGAGUAAUUAUAGGCCUAUAGGAGCCGACUAACCUAGAUUAAUAUGAAAAAUAUUCCAAUAUUAAAAGCAAGCAGAUAGUAAUACUUGCCUUUGACCAUUUUUCUAGAACUGUUAUUCCUAUUGAAUGUUCAAGUGCUACGGCCAGGCAUCGAAUGCCUGCACGGAACCUUCCUAUUGAAUGGUUACUCUAGAGAUCAACGCACCGCGAGACAUUUUUAUGGAAUUUGUUUGAUUCCCCUUCUACAAUUAGAUUAAUUUUUCAUGGCAUAUAUUACUACUAUUAAAUUAUUUGUUUAUUGUCGGGCCUGCUGCAUGUGUGGUAUAUAUGACUUGCUUCUCACCAUUGUUCUCAAACUAUUAUUCCUAUCGAAUCUUUCUAUCGAAAUAUAUUUUAAUUACUUGAUUGUUGUUUGUGUACCAUAACUUCUGUAUAGAAAAAUUCCAUGUUUGUAGAUAAUGUCUUUUGUAUAGAAAAAUAGCCCAAUUAGAUCCAUCACCAUCUUUUGCUUAUGUAGUUGAACAAGUUGCAAUGUUGAACAAAACUUUAAGUGAAAUUAGACCAGGAAAAGGAAUUGUGGAACAUUAAGGCAAGGGUAACCAGAUUGUGGAAUGCAACCUUACUCAGUAGUGGCGAACAAUUAAGUCUUGACAUGAUCCUUAUUGAUCAAAAGGUAUGAUAGAUGUUCACUUUGAUUGCAUUAUUGGUAUAAUUUUUGGUUUACAAAUUAUUAAUGAUGAUGCAAAAUUAGGGAACCAUGAUCCACGGUGUUAUCAAUAAGCCCUAUAUGAAAAAGUUCAAACCAUUGAUUGAAGAAGGCAAUGUGUACAUAAUUGCAAAUGUCAGAAUCACACCAGAACCACAGAAGUAUCGGCCAGUGGAAAAUGACAGGAUAGUCAACUUCUUACCCACAACUGCACUAAAAACGAUCAAAGAUACUGAAGACAUUCCAAAGUAUAGUUUUAACUUCAUGAGCACGGAUAUGCUUUCAGCAAGAAUAAAUGUGGACAUGUACCUAUUAGGUAAAACAUUACUGGCUUUUCAAUUUUUACACUUCCACUCAUUAAAUGACCAUCUAAUAAUAAUACAUAUUUAUGUUUCAUAGAUGUUAUAGGUAUCUCAGCUCACAUUGGACCGAUAGAAGAAACAAGGACAAACUUCGGAUUUACUAAAAUCCGUGAUAUUGUGCUCCUGAUCGAGUAAUUCUCUUUUCUUUUGUAGAAAACAACUACAAAACUUUCAACAUUUACAUGUAUGUUAUAGAACUUCUGUUGAACUAAAAAAUAUCUUCUACAGUGCCCCUACAAAUAAUUAAUUUCGUAGUUGGAUAUUUAAAAUAUUUAUUAUUCACUUUUAAAUUUGUGGCCAUGAAGUUAAAGUUAGAUUUUGGGGAGACAAAGUUGAGGAAGUUGAUGAUAAGACAAAAUCCCAUGUCAUUGCAAUAACAUCUACAACUGUGAGUAAAUUUGGCAGUAAGUCUUCAUUCAAUAUGAGUUAUUCAAUAUUAGUCAUUCAACAAACUAACCUCGUAAGAAAAAUAAAUAAUUGAUGUUUUAUCAGGGUAUUCUCUAUCGUCAACCAAUGCAACAAAACUUUAUGUAGAUCUACCUAUUCCUGAAACUAAGGAUGCACAUGAUAGGUGAGAAAAAUUAGAUAUUGUUUUUCUAUUUUAAUCUAUGUAGCAUGCACUCUAACAUGAUACAUUCUUUCAUAUGAUAAAAAAAUGUUAGUUCAAUUGAAAAUAUUGUCAAAGAGAUUCAUAUUGAGGACCAUCUAAAAGGGACAUUGGAAGACCAAAUGCAGUACAAUAGAAGAACUUUAGAAGAAUUAAAUUUCAUAUUAUUUGAAACAUCAAAUCAGGUAUGGAUUAGUAUGUUCAUUGUACACUAUACUAUUUAAAGACUUACAUACAUAAUGAUGGUAUUGUUCCUACUUUCAGGAUGAGGUAUUUACUAUUGAAGCAACAAUAAAUGAAAUUAAUGCAACAUAUGGUUGGUUGUCACACCCGAUUUUAAGGACAAAAUUGAGUGCAUUAAAUACAUGUGCACCAGGAUCAAGUUACACACAUCCUAUGAGUACCGUCCUUCUUUGGCACAAAGAUAACCGGUGCUCCCCAUGGUGAUGAACUAGGCCGAAUAAACUAUUUUGCUGAUAAUUCCUCUAGUUGUUGUUUCAAUUCUUUUAAUUGUUCAACCAACAUUCUAUAAGGACGUUUGGAGAUAGGUGCAGUACCAGGUAAAAGAUCAAUAGCAAAUUCAAUGUCGCGGUCAGGUGGCAUACCUGGUAAAUCGUCGGGGAACACAUCCGGAUAGUCACACACCACUUUGAUAUCUUCCAAGGAUUUUCCAGCCAACUGAUUAACUGCACAAUCUGCUGCUGAGGGUAGAGUAGCUACAAACUCCACUUUCUCUCCAUCAGGACCUGUUAGCAGAACUGUCCUCUUGGCACACUGAAUCGUUGCAUCAAAAGCGGCUAACCACCUCAUCCCCAGAAUUACAUCGAUUCCACUGGACUCAAGGACGAUAAGAUCAGCCGGAAACUCUAUACCCAUUAUUCUCAGUUUAACUUGUGGACAGAUGUAUUGAGCCUUCAUUGACCCCCCAGGUGAACUCACUAGCAUAUGACGCCUCAUGGUAUGCAUGGGUAAAUUAUGCUUUGCUACAUAAUGACUAGUGACAAAAGAAUGCGAUGCUCCAGAGUCAAAUAAAACUGAUGCGGGGGCAGAGUUGACAAAGAACAUACCAAGCACUACAUCUGGAGCCUCCUUAGCAGUCUCGGCUUCCAUGUGGUUCACCUUGCCACAAACAAAGCUUUGCUGCCCCUGAUUGCCUUGUGGGGUCUGGUUCCCAUUCCUCGGUUGCUGCAUCUGAUUCUGCCGAGGAGCACUGCUGUUCUGCACGGGGGUAGCUGGCCCACCUCUCUUAGGACAAGAGCUGGCAUAGUGACCAACCUCGCCACACUUGAAGCAGGUAGGACCCACUGGAGCAUUGGGCCUUGUUGGAGUGCCAGUAGGGGUCAUCUGGCGGUUCUGCGUAAAGCUUGGGCGCGGAGUCUGCAUAGUCUGCAUCCCUGGAUGCUGGAACUGAGGGCUAGGGCGCUGGAAUGACUGCUGAGCAGGGCGCGGAAAUGAGUGCUGCCAAAAAUUCCCACUCGGGCCCCCUGCGCGGAACGGCGUCCCUUGCUGUGGAGCAAAGCGAGGGCGGGUGUUGCUUCCUGAAGACUACUGGGAAUUGAAUUUCCUCUUCAUCUCCCCGAGCUCGUUCCUCUUGUGUUCCAGGCCAAUUGCCUUGUCUAGCAUCUUCUGGAAACUGGGGAAGGUGUGCGACAUAAGCUGAUAUUGGAGUGGUCCAAUCAACCCAUCCAAGAAUAGCUCCUGCUUCUGCUCAUCAUCAGCAACAUCUUCGGGAGCAUAUCGGGACAACUGGACAAACUUGUCCCUGUACUCUGCCACUGUCAUGUUCCCCUGCUUGAGAGCAAGGAACUCCUUCUUCUUAAGCUUCAUCAAUCCGGAAGGAAUAUGAUGACUUCUGAAGCUAGUCCUGAAUUCAUCCCAGGUGAUGCCAUUAGCAUUGGCAUGGGUGGUGGUGUAAGCAUCCCACCAAUCAGCAGCUGGCCCUUCCAGGCGUCCUGAAGCAUACAGGACCUUCUCCCUGUCAGUACAUUGGGCGAUAUCCAGCAUCUUCUCCACUGUUUUCAGCCAAUCAUCAGCAUCUAAUGGAUCCGGAGAAUGUGAAAACGUCGGGGGCUUGUGGCUCAUGAACUCCCUAUGCCUGUCCCUUGGCGGCGGCUGCUGCUGGUUGUUGUUGUUGUUAUUGUUCAGCUGAGCUUGUAAAGCUGCCACGGUGUUGGUCAGUCCGGCGAGAAGCUGAGUCUGAGCUGCUAGAAACUGCUCCAUCCCUGCAGGUGCUUGUUGGUUCUGUUGCGGAGCGGUGUUGGGAUUGCUGCUGUUGUCCCUGUGGCGUGGCACUGUGGGACGGUCAACUCCUGAUCCGGACCUGGUGUUUACCAUCUGAGCGUUAGAGACAAUGGAUUUAGAUAGAUGUGUGAAAGAAUAACUGAGAAAGAUAAAGCGACCAGAUGUAAAAGUAACACAGAUUCUGUUAGCUCCAUUUAAUUAGGUGUGGUCGUCAGAAGAAGUGUCCAUAAAUUCUGAACAAUUACCAAGUCGUAACUUAUUAAAUUUGUAAACCAACCCAACUGGAAUCAUCUCAAUCGGACUUCUGGAUCUCGAGUUACAAAAUUAACAAGCUGACAGUGUCGGUCGAUAGGUUCAGAUUCUGAGUGCUUUACUAAUUCGCAUACACCUCCCAGACAGAUACACCAAAAAUUCUGAAAAAUUUACAGAUAGUACUCCACGAAAUUCUGAAACUAACCCCACUGGUUUCAUGUCAUUUGGACUUCUGUAGCUAGAGAUAUAAAUAAAAAAGUACUGGCGUGUCAGUUAAUGUCGAGAACAGAAUUGAAUGUCGCUUAGCUUGCGUGAUGGAUAGAUUUAGACAGAUGGUAGAUCAUGAUUAAGGAAGAUUAAAUACUGAUUUAGAACAGAAAUAAAACCCAACUAAGCACUUUAUUUAUUAAGACCAGUAUCGUGUGGCAAUUGCCCCACAUACCGCACUCAUUACAAAAUCCAACUCAAACAUGUAGCACAAAACCAAUCAUCUAAGCACACUUUAACUAACACACUCGAACGACGUCUAACGAUUACAAGAAUUUAAACUAAAACACUCCUAAUUUCCUAGAGGUCUUCUGCGGCGGUGCCGGGCGAGUCGUAGCGGGGACGCUUAGGCGACGGCGACGAAGCGGGAUGAACAGCAAACUCCUGCGGCGGCGGUGCUCCCGUCGCGGCAGCCAUAUUCGCAUCCCUCUCCCACCGGAGUUCCUGAACCUCCUGUUGAAGCUCCUGGAUGUGGUUGUUUGCUUCAUUCAAUGCGGUGAGAGCUGCCGACGUGUACUUGCGGAGGAAGUCUGUAGCCAUGUCAACCCCAUCGUUAGUAGCGAUGAAGGUUCUUGCUUCCCCACUAGCUCGGUAAGGAAGGAACCGAUGGUAAGUGUGCUGCAAUCGCGGCCGUUCCUUGUGGGAGACGACCUCAAGUGCCCUCCUGGCGGCCUCGGCAAUGCCGGAUUCCAUGGUCCUCCUUAUGGUCACAUCAUGGUGAAAAGCCUUCACCUCCCAUCCUCCCUCGUGCUCCUCACGAAGGACAACCUUCACCUCCCAAAAAGUGGGAUAGCGAGGGUGGGUGAACCGGGAGCACUUGUAGAGUGGCCUCAUGCCGUACCCCAAGCGGUGACAAGUCCACCUGAGUAUGUCGGCCAUGUGCACUCCUUGGCCAUAAUCUUCCUUCACCCAUUUGAUCCAUGUCUCGGGCUCGGGAUCUGCUUCGGGCUCAUCAUCCGUCAAGUCGACGACCGGUACGGGCGUCGGGGCUGGUGCAGGAGCGGGCGCCGGUGCUGGCGACGGUGCUGGUGACGGCGUGGUCUCCUGCUCCACGGUCACGGCGUCCCCGUCAGAGUCAUCCCCCGGAUGCUGGAAGAUCUCUUCCUCUUCUUCCUCGUCCCAAGGCUCCAUGGGGGCGUACGACGGCGCGAUGCCAUGACGCGGCGGACGGGUGCUCUUGCGUGCGGUCAACCGGGUGCGAGCCAUCUAACAGAAAGAAAGAAGAAAAUUUUAGAAUAAAAUUUUGAACAAAGCUAGAUAAUAAAAUAGCAAUAAGGAUGAGACAAAUCAAGUUUAAGAAUAAUUAAGUAGAUUUAAAUUAAGAAAGGUAGGAAUGGCUACUAGAUUAUUAUAAUCCUUAAAUACGACCAUUUUCUAACUAGGCUAACGUCCUACAGUCAACACGGCUCUGGUACCACUUUUGUCACACCCGAUUUUAAGGACAAAAUCGAGUGCAUUAAAUACAUGUGCGCCAGGAUCAAGUUACACACAUGUACGACAAUAGUGAAUAGUAAAGCCAGUGCUAAAUCGAAUAAAGAGAGUAUUAACCAUUAUUACAUGACCGAAUGUCUCAAAUAAACCACAAAGUCUAAUUAUUACGCAGCGGAACUCCAAAGAUGACGACGACUCCAUAGGCAGCUGACUGAAGAAACGUACGCCUAGAACUCCUCGAAGUCGUGGAAGUACUCCUCUUCCCAAUUAACUUGGUCUGAACAGCGGUUUUGCAAGGGUGAGUACACUUAUGGUUGGUACUCAACAAGUCGUGGGAAGUAGUGUAGUGUAAGGCUAAUUCAAGGUAUGGCUAAGGCGUAAAUAGCAUUCGCUUUUAAUUAAGUUGGUCAAAUUUUAUUAGCAUUUACUAAGUAUAAGUUCAUACCACCCGAAAUUAAACAUGAACAUAAAGUAAACCACAUGUGCAUGAAAUGAUAACAAAUUAAAUCCAUCUUCCGAUAAUAUUAUCAUGUGAGGGUCCAGGCCGCUCUUAACCGUGAGCACGGCUGAUUGAUCAGUUUAACACUCUGCAGAGGUGGCACAUCUUUACCCACAAGUCGCGUAAAAGUUCAAAAGAACUUUGGACCCAACCAUGCGGUGUUUGCAAGGCACCAUACCACACUUCCGAGGUGUGAUUGCAUAGGGACGCUACGAGGCCUUUACAAAGAUUCAUUAAUCAGUGGUAACCCGCUAAGGUUUCGGUGUCUGGCGUGCACCACCCAUCCCAGGUAAAAUGCAACGACUCAGUCCCCCCCCUUGAAUCAUCACGAGUAAGGUCACCCCAGACUAAGGUUUCUAAUUAAUCAGCCAAGACCAGAGCUAUUUAGUCUUGUGGUAGCACUGUUUUCCUGGGUGGUCGCUCCAUGUUCUGAUUAACAAAUAAUGAUCUUGUCUUAAUGAAAGGUAUAACAGAAAUAAGGCAAGAUUAAGCAUUGUUUUUAGUUAAACCACCAUGUACCAAGUAAGCACUAAGCAUGAGCUACCCAACAUAAAGUAAACCGGUUGGUCAAGGCAAAGGUAAAACAAUCUAGGCCAACCUUAAUUGGGACCCAUCAAUUUAAUCUUAAUAUGUGCACAGCAUAAAUGUUGAGUACGAGAAAGUAAAGGUGUAUAGGACAAAAAGGUAGUGAUCAAGGACACGACUUGCCUUCUUGGCCUUGCUCCUGCUGUUCGUACUCCUCGAAGGCUUGAUCGGCAACUCCCUCGAACUGCGGGGCGUCUACACGCAUCACACGAGCACAUACAAGCAAACAUGGGCAAAAGUAAGAAAACAGUAUACCAAACAUAGUCAAACAGAGAAAACAAGCUUGAAAAGAUGAUCUACGCUUUAAAACGAACACGCGGAUAUAAAGAACGCGAAAAACGGAGUUAAGAUGCAAAAGAUAUGAUUAAAACAAAAUCCAGGGACUUUUCUGUAAGAAAAACAAAACUUUUAGGGCCUAUCCGCGAAAACCGAGGGCUUAUACGUAAUUAUGCGUAUAAACCGAGGGUCUGAUGCGUAAAAACAUCAAACCCGGACGGCGGGUUGAUUUCUGGAAAGGUCAAGGGUUAAACCGAAAAAUGCGAGGGCAGAUCUGUAAAUACUUUCAACGCGAUCUGGACCGCGGGUUGAUUUGCGAAAAAGGCGGGGGCUAAAGUGCAAAAACUGCACGGCGCGGCUCGGUUGACCGGUACGCGAUCUUGAUUGACUCGCGUCCGGCCGUCGGAUUAAGAUCCGACGGUCGCGGUGAUCCGCGACAUCGCGGCGGCGGCGGCGAGCGGCGGCGAGCGGCGGCAAGCGGCGGCGGGUCGCCGGAGUUAGGCAAAAUAGCGCCACGAGGCACGGUUUAACGCGCGGGUUGCACCAAAAAAGAGAGGGGAACACGUCGAUCCCGUUUUGGGGGUUCUUGUCGACGGGGGCUCACCGGCGACGGCGAACGGCGGCGAGGAAGAGGCGGCGGCGCUAGGAGCUCGGGCGGCUAGGGUUUCGGGGAGCUGCGGCGCUGGUUUUGGGCGGAGGAGACUGGGAGGAGGCGGCGGCUUUUAUAGGGCUUGGAGAUAGAGCCGGCGCGGGUUCAAAUCCCCCGGAGGAGUCGGAGCGGAUGGAGUCCGGGGCGGAGACGGCGCGCGGCGGUUGCGGAGUUCUGACCGGAUUCGGCCGGAGGUGGGAGACGAUGGGUGGGGUCCACCCGUCAGUGGCGGAGGGGAGCGGUAGACGGGCCGGCGCGACCGUGGGCUGGCGCGCGCUCGUGGGCUGCGGGGAGCGGGAGAGAAGCGGCGAGCGGGCGCUGGCGGAGCAGGCCGAGCGGAGGUAGAGCUGGGCCGCGGAGAAAAAGGAGGAGGCCGGCGGGCUGCUUCGCAGGCCGGUAAGGAUGAGGCGGCCGGGCCGAAGAAGAAAAAGAAAAGGAGGGACAAGGAGCUUUCGGCCGAGGGAAAAGAAGAAGAAAAAGAAAAGGAAGAAGAAAAGGGAAAAGGUUUUGGAAUUUGAAUUUAAAUCUGAAAUUCAAAAUUUGAUUCAAACUCAAGCAACCAAAAAUUAUGCUCCAGCAUGAAUGCACAAAUAAUUCCUAUGAUGAAUUAAUUGAAUUAAAGAAAAUGAAUUUAAAUGCCUAGAAAUUAAAUAACACCCUAAUUUGAGCAAAUUUUAAUGAAUUUGAAUUAUUGAAAUUUUGGGUGUUACAUUGGUACUACAUCUCAUGUAGUAGAGGCGAUUGUAAGAAGCAACUUGAAAAGAAGUUUGAUCACUACUAUUGCAAUAAAUGUGACAAGAGAGCCGAACCUAAAGCCCAGUAAAUUAUUUAGUAGUUUACAAUCUUAUUAUAAUACUUCUAUUUCUAAUAGGAGAAUAAUAUUUUCAGAUUCAAAUUAAGCUUCAAAUAAGUGAUCCAACAACAAGUGCAACUUGUGUACUUUUGACAAGGAAGCAGAAAUGAUAAUUAAUGAAUGAGCAGAUUCGAUGAUCACCUCAGUUGAUCAUGAUAAUAAGUAGCUACCAAAAUCAAUUCAGGAAAUAUGUGAAGAAACAUUGAUUUCUCAAUUCAGAUUGACCGAGUACAACUUGACAAGUUUUAGACCUGAUUAUACUGUUUCAAAGAUAUUUUUUCCAAAAGAAAAGGGCAGUUCAAGAAUUGGUAUGGAAAGUGUAAAAAAGGUAACACUUUAUUAUUAAUUUUUUAUUGCACUUUUUUCUUUUGAAUCCGUAAUACUUAAUAAUUUUACUAUAUCAAUGAAACAAAUUCUAACCUAAAUUUAUUUUCUUUUUUAUUAUUUGUAGGAAGUAGAAGACAACUCAGACAAAUGCUACACGAUAACUACCGAGAAUGAAGAGGUAGACACUGAUGACUCUUUUACCGAGAAAGUAACAUUCGUAGAAGAAGCCAUAAGGACUGGGGAAAGAUUGGCUAGAAAAGUAUACUCACUUCCAUGUCAGUGUUCAUUCUAUUUACAAUACAUGCAAAAAAAAUAUUAUUCAUGCAAAAUUGCAGGUCUACUAAGCAUUAAAGGAAUAGCGGAUAGUGCAAUAUGUAAUCUGAGCAGCAUGCAUUACAAAGUGCUCUACUGCAAUUAAAUUAAAAAACAUGAUAUAUGUUGAAUUCUUAGACUUUAUUAUUAUACUUUUCUACGUGACAAUUCACAAUUUUUUAGAAAAAAGAAGAUCCCAGAAGAAGUGACCAUGAAAAAAGGUCUAUGACCAGCAAUAAGAAAAAAUGCAAGCAUAGAAACAAAUCCGUAGAAAACAUAGAAAAUAAGGUACUCCAUAAACAAAAGUAUUCUCUUAUAUUUUUAUUAAAUAUUUUUUUAACACUUGACAAGUUCUUUUUUAGGAUCAAUAUAUCAGCAAUUCAGAUGUCAUUGGAGAUGAAACCUUAGUUCAUCCAAAAGGUCAAAAAAAAACAUCUGAAGAAAGGUGUUUGGCUGAAAAGGAAAAGCAAAAAAGUGGUAAUGCAGACAAACACAUGCAGAAAAAUAUAAAAACAUGUCAUAGGGAGGCAGACCAAUCUUGCAAGGAGGUAUAGACGAAACGUGAUACACGACCUGCCUACCUUGUCGUGGAUACCCCAAGAAGAUGUCAUAGAGGUGCAGACCAAGCUAGCAAGGAGGUCGAAACGUGAUACACGGCCUGCCUACCUUGCCGUGGAUAUUAGCCCUGAGAUCAUUCUACUGUUCAAGGAAUAACACUCAAUGCUGCUGCUGCUGCUGACCUGGCUCCAUAAAGUUAUACUCCUCUAGGUGCUUGCACUAACUUUAUCUGAAGUAUUAUUCUCUCUGCACUGUAUAUAUGGUUAUGGAGUUUGCUGGAGUAUCCGGGGCGAAGAACCUACAUAAUACGUCUUGGAACUAAUUGACAUUGAUUCACAGACAAACUCUACAAGGUGCUGUUCUUGCCAUUUUAGAGCAUCCAAAGGACUAUAAAUAACAUAGUUUACCAUAUACCAUAUACCAUAUACCAUAAUAUGUUAGCUAAAAUAAGAGCAUACACAUGUUGCAGGAGUCCAAAAGCACCGGUUGAGGACCAGGUACAUUGAAUUACUAGAAAAAGACAGGGGACAAGGUUUAGGUAACCACAUGAAACAUUUGAAUUUAUUGUACUAUGAACACUUAGUUACCAUGCCAGGAGCACAUAGUUAACACUAACAUUUAGCCACUUUAGAUCAUCCCGAAUCACCAAUGACCCUCAAUAGUGACAAAUUUUGGUUUAAAUGCCAUCACCAAUGAUCCUCAAUAGUGACGUAUUUAGGUUUAAAUCCCGUCACUAAUAACCCUCAAUAGUGACCUGUUUUGGUUUAAAUCUCAUUACCACUGAUCCUCAAUAGUGAUGUGUUUUAGCAAAACAUGUUAUCAAUGACUUGUCAUUGGUGACGUGUUAAAACGCGUUAUCUCAAUGGCAAAUCAUUGGUGACGUGUUAUCUCAAUGUUAUCAAUGUUCUAUUCUUUUCAACAAUACCAGCUCGUUCCUCCGUUUUUAUUCCACCAAUACAAGCACCACCUUGUAACAUUUCCUAUGUUUUUUUUCCUUUUGUCUGUUUUCUCACUACAUGCGUUGCUCUUUCAUGCAUUUUUUUCCAUUCCUGUAUUCCAAAUAGGUCUACAUGAACACAAAAUGAACUAGGGGACAGAAAAAGCCAGUGAAGCCAAUUUUGAGCUUCACCAGCUACUUGCUACAUAAAGUGUGCUAUAGUGACGUGUUUUAGCAAAACAUGUUAUCAAUGACUUGUCAUUGGUGACGUGUUAAAACGCGUUAUCUCACUGGCAAAUCAUUGGUGACGUGUUUUAAAAAAACAUGUCACCGUGAGAGUCAUUGGUGAAGGGUAAUUAAAAUGCGUCACUAAUGUUGUAGCAUUAGUUAUGAUAAUUUAGUAACGCAAAAAUCUACCAUCAGUAUUGAGCUUUAGAGCCAUCGCUAAUGUGGGUUUCUUACAUAGUGAUGCAAGCUCUACAAGGUGCUGUUGCUGCCAUUUUAAAGCAUCCCAUGACUACAUGUUAAUAACAUAGUUUACCAUAUAUCAUAAAAAUAUUAGUUACAAUAAGCACAUACGCAUGUGGAAGAGUCCGAAUGCACCGGUUGAGGACUAAACACAUUGAAUUACUAGAACCAAAUGUAUGUUUAGAACAAAGACAGGGGUCAAGGUUUGGGUAACCGCAUUAAAAACAUUGGAUUUUACUGUACAUGAACACUUAGUUACCAUUACCAUGCCUUGAGCACCUAGUUACAACAAACAUUAAUUUAGCCACUUUAGAGCUUCCAGAAUCGCUAUAAAUAAUAUACCUACGCCGUACCAUGAAAACAUCAAGAAGAGAGACGGAUACAUGGACCACCAUCAAGCGAGUAGUGACAGCACGCACAAGAAUACCCGGAACCUGUUAGCUUGUCUGUAGUGAUCUGUUUUCUUCCCCAUAAAAUCCAUGAGUAUUGCCACAAAUAAUGAAAGAGGCUGACCAAGCUAGCAAGGAGGUAGAGCAAACGUGAUACACGGCCUGCCAAGAUUGCCCUGGAUACGCCAAUAAGAGCGACAGAUACAUGGAUCACACCAAUAUGGUGAAACGUAUAUUCAUCACACAAGCAAAGCUGGUCAGUUUAUCCAUGGUCAAAUUGUGGUCUUUGUUUUCACUUGAGAGCUAAUUGAGGCACUAUAAUAUGGGCAGGCCUAUCUUCAACAGACAUGACAGCUACAGGGAACUUGACAUAAUUUGCUGGGCCGCCUGUGCACAAUUAUUUGUUUUAUUGUCCUUGCAUAGAAUGCUAAAAUACUCUUUACAAAAUGUUGGAUCUAAUAUUUGAAAUAUAGAGUAGUAAUCAUAUAUUGAUCAACAACUUGAAAUUAUCUGUACAUUCUCGGUGAAGCUGUUGAACUAAUUUUUGCAAAUUAUUAAUUCAUCUCAUUACGUAAAGAAAAAAGUAAGUGGAUAAGAUAUUUCGUGGACCACAUCACUGCAAACAUGUCAUGGAGAGACAGACCAAGGAGGCAGGACGUGAUACACGACUUACCCUAGGUUGCCGUGGAACCGCCAAGAAGAGAUACAGAUACAUGGACCACACCAUCUUGGGAGUAGUGACAGCAUAUAUGCAGAAGAAUACCCCGUGCCUAUUUGCAUGCAUGUCUCAAGUGAUCUGUUUUCUUCAGAAAAUACAUGAGCAUUGCCAGAAAGAAUGGCAAGAGACAAACAUGUCAUAGAGACUUGCAUGUCUUGCCUUGGAUACGCCAAGAAGAGGGACACAUACAUGGAUAACACAAAUCUAGUGACACGUAUAUUCAUCACAAAGGCAAAUCUGAUAAUUUUAUCCAUGGAGCAGACCAAGGAGAAAUUGAUGACGGACAUGUGAUCUCUGUAUUCAGUUGAAAGCUAAUUGAGCUACACUAAUAUGAGCAGGACUAUAUUCAAGAGACUUGUUGAGAGCUACAGGGAACUUGUAAUAAUUUGCUGGGCGGCCUGCGCACAAUGAUUUGUUAUACAUAGUUGAAAUAUUUCAAGAAUUUAUCAACCUCAUACUCUGAAACCCUUGGUGCAAUGUACUCUGCUUUCCGAGGUAGACUGUUCACGUAAAAUGAGGUCAUGCGUAAGACGGAAUCGGAUUGGAUUCACAGGGAAUCAGAUUUGGAUAGCACCUUUUAGCAGGUUUUUAGUCAAAUGCAAAUUCGGAUCCACAUGUGGUUGAAUGCGAGUUCAAAAUUCUACUUGGAUAUCCAUUUAAUUUAGGUGAUAGCAAUUAGCACAAAAUGUUGGAUGAACAAAAUCAUAGUUAGACAUACAAUUACAUGUAUGGUUAAAGUAUAAUACAAUACACCAAGAUUAUUCCUUGAAAAUAUUUCUUAAAAAUAUUAUAAUAAAUGAAUAAAUAUAAUUGUGGCCACCAACAAAUAGUCGGUGGUCGCUAAGUUGGAGCCAUUUCUGGUUACUAAUGCGGCCUUCUCCUCGACCAGCGACGACAGCUGAGCUUGUUCCUUCUGACACUAAAUCAUCAGAGUCUUCCCUCCACUACUAUAGAAUGCACCUUUAGCACCAAUUGGGAAAUCCCCUUCAGUAUUGGAUGCUGCAACCAGUGCUAUAUAUCAAAAUGGAGACUAAAAGCCUCGGUCUUGGGUACCGGUUGCAUAACGCAUUACUAAAGGAGGCAAAAGAGAAAUGUAACAAAAAAAAUAUUUUGAAUUCCAAGAAUGUUUCACUAUUCAAGAUGACUAGCUGAGAGUCAACAGACAAGAUACUAGGAAUGUGGGUGCUUGAAUGCAUUUGUACAGAGGUCAUACUAUUUACAAACUCUUCUAUGUUUCCAUAUGACUACCUACUUCAAUGUCACGCGAGCCAUUCAGCUGGACACAUGGCACACUAGCUUGCAUGUCGAAUCCAUGAUUAAUUAUUUGCACUUGUGAUCUCUUACCAGUAUUUGUCCAGACUAGAAACGUGCAACACAUUUUUAGGAUAUGGACACGCAUAUAUUUGGACUAGUAUACAGGUCACCUUUGGAUGCGUACAAGGAUGACCGGGAGGGACUAAUGGAUACAAGGAAGGGACCAUCAGGAUUAAUAUUGACAUAUGCCACAUGACAAUCUUCAUUGUCAUGCAAUCCCUAUCAACAAUCAUGGAAUCCCUAGUGUACUAAUCCCUGGAGGGUUGUGUGGAAAUUUAUUUUACCUUGCGGUGAAAAUCUCAUGAGCAGUCAUUAGUUAAGCUGACUAGCUGAGAUAUAAUAGACAAGCUAGUAAGAUUGGGAGCAUCAAUGCAUCCAUACAGGGUCACAAUAUCCUUUCCAUUCACUUUUAUAUAUAACCCUACGAAUACAAGUCCAACGAAAUGCGGGCCUUUCGAUCAAGAUAAAUUAAAUGGCCCACUUGUAUUUCUAAUCCAGGAUUAACUAUGCCCUCUGUUCAUCUCUUGCAAGCACGUGCAACACAUUUUCACGAUAUGGACAUGCAUGGAGGUUAUUAUACUGUUUGGACAAACUCUGAUGUGCCAUGACCUAAAUGCUUAGGGCCUGUUUGGUUUGAGUUGCUUAUUAUAAGCAACUUAAAGUUGCUUAAAGUUGCUUAUUUGAAGUUGCUUAUUUUUAGUCUAAACUGUUUGGAUACCCUUGCUUAUGAGCAUUGAAUGAGUUGGACAUUGUCAAAUUUGCCCCAUGUGUUGCUACCCCUCCAAUUUGCCUCCCCACCCUUCUUCUUCCUGCACACGUCCGAUCCCGGGGGCCGACGGCGGGCAGGGAGCAGCAGCAGCUGGCCAGGGCGGCGGUGGGGCGGGAGCGGCGGCGCACACCAGCACGCGCUCGCACGCCAGGUGCUAGGGCGCGGCGAGGCAGUCGUCGUAGCCCACCGGGAGCGGGUGCUCGGGCGCGAGGCGGUACUCGACGGAGAUGCCGAGCGUCGGGCGCGCGGCGGCGAGCGCGUUGAGGAAGCGAUGGUAGUGCGGCGACGUCGCGGACUCCGCCACGAAGCCGCCGCCGUGGACGUACACCACCACGGGCAGCUUCGUCUUGCCGUCGGCGGCCGCGGCCGCGGCCUGGGGUGGCAGGUAGAGGCGGACGGAGCAGGAGCCGAGGUCGACGUCCCUGGAGUCGACGCCCGUGGCGGCGUCCAGGCUGGGCCCGACCGGCGGCGGCACGAGCGGGCGCUCGAUGCGGCCGCUCUUGUAAAUCCGACGGGUCUGUGCGGAGGCGGGCGGCGGGCGGGAGCGGCGGGUGGGAGCGGCGGCAGGUGGUGCGGAGGCCGGCGGCGGCGGGUGGCGCGGAGGAAGGGGAGCUGGUGAGUGGUGACAGGGGAGGGGGGGAGAGAGAGGGGGGGUAGGGUGCAUUGAAUGAGGGCAGGAGGUGUAAAGUGCACCUUUUAGUCCCCAUGAGCAACCAUAAGCAGCCCAAGAGUUGCUUAUUUGCUUAUAAUAAGCAACCUCAUAAGCAAGAGUGAUUGGUUUCAUAAGCAACUUAUUUGCUUAUUUUAAGUUGCUUAUGCAUAAGCAUGUGAAACCAAGCAGGUCCUUAACCUAUGGUUGUGGCACCACACAGUACAUAGUAUUUAAUAAUGCUAUUCGUUUGGUAUGUGCACAAGGGCACGCAUGAAAUGUCUGGCCCACGGUAAACAAGUACGGACGCUGCAAAUAAUCUACUCUGCUCGUCCAGUCCCUAGCCUAUAAAUAGAUGCCAUGCUAGCUCUUGUUGUGCUCACAAUUAAUCCUGACUACACACGAGCUUCUCUCCCUGGCCAAGACACAAUCAUAGUAUGAUGAAGAACAUGGCACUAGCCGGCAAUGGUAUGAAGAACUUAAUCCUCGCUGUUCUCUUACUGUGUCUAGUUAUAGGGCAGAUACAAGUGGAAGCUAAGAGCUGCUGCCCAUCCAUUACUGCAAGAAAUAUCUACAAUGCCUGCCGUAUCACGGGUACAUCCCGUCCAACGUGUGCAAAACUGUCAGGCUGCAAAAUUAUCAGCGGGGACAAAUGCAAGCCCCCUAACGACCACCUCACCCUUGACCCGGACACUGGUAAAUAAUAAAUUUAUCUCACUUGAUUUCUUCGUGUUUUGAGUCGUUAAUGUAUUUUCCAUCUGAUGAAACGUAUUGGUUUUGCAUUGAAGAGGAAGUUAAUGUGCUUAACUUCUGCAAGUUGGGGUGUGCGUCGUCUGUGUGCAACAACAUCAACGCUGGUAAGCACCUUUUGCUCAGACGGAGAAAACAAUAAUCAUUAAUUAGCGGCAGCUAGAAUCCUAUAAUCUAAUAUAUUUAUAUAUAUAUAUAAUUUUAUCAGCUCUGGGAAAUGAAGAGGCGAACGAUGCCGUUGAGAGUUGCGACCAAGCCUGCUCUAGCUUCUGCAACGUGCACGUUGGCGCUGCCACCGUGGUUGCUUAAGCAAAUGCAUCCAACUGGAUCGUCCUUGUGCUAAAUAAUUGGAUAUCGUAUCCACUUAAAGCUGCCUUGUGUAGUACGUUUUUGUUUGUGUCUCUCUUUAUAUUCCAAUAAGGUCGGUGAUCUUGAUGCCACACACUCAGACGUGUGUUCAUCUCCAGAUACUACUCCAUGCUACCUGCCCUUUGUGUUUUGUUCAAUAACUGGGUAUCAUAUCCCAGCCAGUGUGCCAUCUGUUUUGUGUUUAUUUCCUUCUAGUUUCAAAGGGGUUAUCAUGAUGUUACCUUCUUUCGAUAUGGUGCUUUGCAUGACUACUGUUGUAUGGUACCAUCUUGUUGGCCAAUAAAUACAUCUUAUCCUAUGACCCUUUGCUAUGACCCUUUGCAAAUAAGUACAAGAUUGUUAAAUACUCGGUAUAAAUUGACUACUGCUGUGAGUUCCCUUUCAGCUUAUCGUAGGCAUACAUUAUUGCUAGCACGGUGAAGACAACCAACACGAAUGGUCAAGUAAACGUACCGGUACUUUUGUAUACCAACACCCUUGCUUAAAUGUACCGGUGUUACUCCCCACUAGCACAUAUAUUCUUAUAUGCUAGCCGGCUUGAAAAUUAACCGAUUAAAAUAAUUAUUUCAAGACAGAAAUAACUUAUCGGCUUCUCGAAGCAUGUGUAAUGUGAAUUCAAGGACUUGAUGGAAGUUGAAUCGCUUAAUCUAGAUUGCUUUCAGGAUUUUGGGUAACUAAAUUUAACAUUUGCACAUACAAAUGUUAAUGUACAAAUAUUAAAUAUAGUUACCCAAGCAGAAUAUGAAGAUACUCUAUAGUAUAUAUAUACUAUAUAAAUCUAGUUAACAUUUAGUCUAAAUGUUAAAUCUAGUUACCUAAAAUCCUGAAAGCAAAAUGUAUAAAUAUAUAUCUUUUAAGGAAUCCCAAAGCAAGAGUUCAGUGGCAUUCUAUAGUCCCAUGCUGCUAGUUUGAGUUGGUCGAAGCCAACUUAAAUAGGAGAGCUCUCUCACUUCUCUAAAUACGUAACUGAAGGAGAGAAGGGGGCUUGGUUACACAACGCACGCACGCACGCAUAUUUGCGUUCUUUUCGCGUAACCAACCGCGUGACUUGAAACUUGCGACGUAGCGUGCUGCCAAGUCAAGUUGAUAUAACCUUUUUGCCGUAGGCGUGUAAUCUUUUGACAACGGUCAUUGGAGGUGAUAAGCACGCAGUCAAUACCUUAAUCCUGAGUUAAUAGGGCGGUUACUACUGCCAAUUAGUGGGGCAAUUUUGUAGGGGAAACGGUUAGCAGAGGGCUACCAUCUUCUCUAUAAGAAGUUCUGGAGACGUCCAGGAACACACAUGUACAUGUGAGAGACCCACGAAUUCCUUCCCAUCUCCCUUUUCCAUCUGGUGAAGUGUGCUAUGGUACUGAGCUGCUGGAUCUCGCCGGCUCUUCUCCUUGGCGUGCACCGAGGAGGAGGGUGAGCGGUAUCUCCGAGCUAUUGCCGUCAGGAAGCCUGCACGAGGGACAACAAUAAAGUUUUUGGGUAGCGCAACUACGCAACCGCUCGAUUCGAUCGACUAUGUUCUGCGCUGCCUCAUCUUCGAUCUGCACUGCAACACGUAACCCUGCAGCAAGUCUACACAAGGACGGAGCACUAAUCUGUAAGUCCUAGAUUGGUUUCUUACAGAGUUGUAGGUUACACAAGAUCUAGAAUUGUUACAUACUUAUUAUUAUGGGUUACAUGAUGUUUUGUACGGUUACGUCUAUUUUGCAUAUGCUAUUUUUACAUACCGUUUACAUGCAUAUGUAAUGGUUACGCCUAGCUAUUUGAAUCUAGAAUUGGGUUACAUAGCAGUAGCAAUGACUUACGUAAUAUGCCUCAUGUUUAUAUCUGGUAGAAUUUAACACGUAUCUCCAACAUAUUUUGAGGCAGUAUAAAUUUCAAUUCCUUUUGCUGCUCUGUUAAAUCCCGUCUUUCGUGUGGCCCAACACUCUAGUAUGCAUGUAGCACCAAGCUUGUUUGAGCCGCUUUGUGCUCUGAUUUUGCUGUCUGUAUCAGGUUGGACUGUUUCUUUGUCUUGCGAUGUAUAGCUUCAUAUCUUCUAGAGGUUAGACAGCAAAACCCGCGUUCUCUUAAGGCAACAACUCGAAGAAUCUGCAGCGCUCCUGAUAUAUCACUGCUGCAGAAACAAUCUUUAGUACUGAUUUCCAACCCCCUUUAGUAUCGGUUUGGCAAUCAGUACCACUACGUCGGUACUAAAGGGAGUUCUCUAGAAUCGGGUCAAAUAACUGGUACUAAAAGUGCUCCUCUACUACCAGUUGGUAACACCAAUAGGUAGUAACUUUUUUUGCACCCAAAAAAUUAAAGAAAAACAGCCGGGAGGCUCGCGCACACACGCAUCAUGAGUAAUAUGCGCGUGCAUGGUUUGUGGGAUUCCAACCCACGACCAAGCUAUAAGCACGUAGUUACAAAAAAAUUAAACACUUAGACAUUUUAGAGCAUCCCAAAUAACUACAAAUUCUUUAGUUUACCAUAUACCAUAAAAUAUUAGUUAAAAUAAGAGCAUACGCACGUCGGAAGAGUCCCAAUGCACCGGUUGAGGAUCAGACCAGGCACUUUGAAUGCACAUGCCAUAAGAUAAUUCUGCAGGACGAUGAUUGCAAUAAUGGACCAUCGAGAAGAUAGGGGCGAUGGGGUUGCCUCAUCAAUUAUGACUUGGCGCAACAAGACCAGCAAAGUCUUUAUCGACAGGGGUGGAUCAAGGGGUGGGGCGGGUAGAGCUCCAAUCUUCCUACCGCCGCUCGAACAAUGGAGCCCCCCUUAGCCCCUCCAUAAAUUUUUAGGUAGAAGAAAAAAGAAGAGAAGGGAAGGAAGGGGAAGAAUAGGGAGCCCCUCCUAAGUAGGUCGCCAUCGUGCUUCCCAACGCAUGAUCGCCGCACCGCAUCCAUUCCUCUACAAGCCUCCAGCGUCUCUCCUGCCGCUACCUCUGAACCAUGUGCAGCUGCAGACCCAACUAGUGUCUUGUCACCCAUCUCAAUCCCAACAGAGCGGCGGCUCCUGCCAGCACAAAUCUCCCUCCGCCUGUUCUUCACGAUCGAUGGCCACCACAAGCAUAAACCUCGCCUUCGCAUCCACGCAAAAGGGUCGCCGGUGUGCCUUCUCGCAUCGCUUCUCAGCCUCCUUCACUUGCGGCUGGCCAAGAACCGUGCCACCACCUCGGGUGCGCGCCACCGCUCCAGGGCCGCUACCCCAUGCGUGCGGCCGCCGCCGGCCACCACGCGUGUGCAACCGUGUCGCACCGCUUCCCUGCUCUGUGCCACCACUGCUACUGCACCACCAGCUCCACCACCUUGGGCUGGUCGCCAGGGUGACUGAUUGGUGGAUUAUUACUACAAAUAAGUUCCUUAUUAUCUGCAACUACUAUUAACUCAGGGAUACAUGCGUCUUUUGCUUCUCCUGUUAAUAUGUCCUAAAAUAUCUAGAAUGCCUUAUAUUUCUGGACGGAGGAAGUAUUUGAAUAAAAUGAACCAAUUUUAAAAAAUGUGUUGUACACUACUACAGAAAGAACUAUCAGUGUCAAACCCAAAAAUGUCGUCACUGCCAGUUUUGGGCAUCGUUGGUGAAAGGUUGGCGGUGAUGGGUAUCCCCUUCAACAACGGCACUAGAGCUAACAGUGAUUGACAUUAGAAAACGAAAAAGGGGACCCACCUAGCCACCCCUGCAACCCGGCUGGCCGUGCCUCCCGUCAUCCCCACCACCUCGCCUCCCCCGUGACCCCCCGCCGGCGCCCUUGCGCCUAGCCCCCUCGCCUGCCUGGCCGGCCACCCUCGUCACGAGAGAGAGGGGUGCAUGUUGUAUAAUUGCGUGAAUUUUUAAUGUUUAAUUUCAUGUAAGUUUCAUAUAAUAAAUUGUACAAGUUUUAUUGUAUAUAUGAAUUCCAUAUAUAUAUAUUUAUAAUUUAAUGUAUGGUUUCAUGUGUAUAUUUCAAUAAUGUGUAUAUUUAGUAGAUAGCCGAUUUUCUUUUUCUACAAGACAAGGGUUGAUGUAUAAUUACGUGUAUAUGUUUAUUGUACGGGCAAUUAGGACAAGUUUUGUAUAAAUUUCUUUUAUUUCAUGGUUGUUGUAUGGUUUCAUGUAUAUACAUUUAUUGUACUACUUGAGACAAUUUUUAAUUUAAUGUUUCUAUGGUUACAUGUGUGUAUAACUAAUUGUAUUAUUAGUUAAGAUGGGAGCCAAAGAGGAUGAAAGGUAUAUAAUGGAGCAGAUUAUUGCUGGCGGUAGUGGCUCAAACGUUGCAAGAACCUACAUCAAGGGUGAGGGUAGCUAGGUGGACAUGUACCUCAACAUGUCCAGUGAUGGCAAUGACGAUGAGGAGCACGAGCAUGACGUUUAUGAUAGUGCGGAACAAGACAUUGCAGAAUUGGAAGGUUCUAAUGAGGUGUGCUUCAUGUUGAUGAUCUGGUUGGCUUUUUUUCUUUGGUCACACCUUAGUUACCAUAGAACUUCGUCUCGGGAGAAGAUUGGAGGUGCUAUGGUGAUUGGAAUUUUAUUGCCUCCAAAUAUGAUUUCCAUCGAAUCAUAUCCCUUGUAUUUAUCUUCUUUUUAUUUGUGAGAGCAUCUUCUUUAUGCUUGCAAAACAAUUCAAGUGCACAUACUACACCUAGGGUGAUGAUUAGGAGUAGAAACAAUUGCCAACAAACGAACACCACAUCCUAAGAUUCUUAACUUGUGGUAUAAUUAGUCUAGUAAAAAGAAAGAUAAAAACCUAAUGGGUGUACGUGAGUGCAAUGCGUAUAUGCAUAUGAGUGGAAGGCAUAUAAGCAAAGAUAAUAUUUACACAUAGAUCUAAGCACCAUGUUUACAACUAAGUUGCUGAAUUUCUCCAUAGCUAUAGAGAUUAAUGAACCAAGGUCAAAACACCAUGUCUAUCCCAAGAUCAGUAAUUCUUUAUAGCACAAGAAAAAGAAAGCGCAUUGCAAAGUUUAUAAACCAACCAAUGCAGCAUGAAAACAAGAUGAAUAGCUAGCAAGGUUUAUUAAACUGAAUGAUGACGGUCUGCAAGCAAGUUUGAACACCAUCUUUACACAAGAUUGCAAAUGGAAAAUUCCCAUAUGAAGAACUAACAUGGAUAUGAAAUCAUUCAUCAUAAAGCGUAAAGAACAACCAAGCCAACCAUAUGCAAAGCAUGAAUGGAAUGCAAUGAAGGUGCAAGAGAACAUUUUUGGAUGAACCCAUUAUGAUGAUGGCAAAAUGCGCCGUGCCCCCCAGCCCCCGCGGUGAGAUCCCGCCGCUCGCUGCCGCCAGACCCUAUUAGGCCUCCACCGGCAGGUCCACCCACGGUCCCGCGCGACGUGGCAGCCUCUUGGCUCUCGGCGCUCGCGGCACGCCAGUGCUGGCGCAGCCCCACCAGGCGACUACCCUCCCCCCAUAAGGCCUCGGCCCCUCCCCAGCGCCGCCCCCCAACACCAGGACUGCCUGCUGCCCCCCACCGUGAGGUAAUCGAAAUCGACUGCUCAAUCUCUCAAUCUGUUGAUAUGAUGCACACGGUUGCAAAAAUAGAUGUGUCAAAAUAGAUGUUUUGCCAAUUGCUAUAGAUGCAUACGGUUGACAUGAAGUCAAAAAUGACAUUUGGUUCCUUGUAGGCAGUCAAAAAUGAAGAAGUCAAAAAAUAUUGAUCUGAAAUCAAUGUGGGAAAGGGCUAUGAAGACACGCAGGUAGAUUCCCUUGUGAACUUUUUAUGUCGUUCGUCUAAAUAAUUUUUUGCAAUGGGCAUACCCUACUCUGAAAUCCUGGGUCCGCCACUGAUGAUGAUGGUCUAAAAAUAAACCAAGCCUAGAUUAAUUAGCCACAACUGAAAUUAAGCAAAGGUUAAUGUCAUUGACCCUAGCUCUAUCCUAGCUUUUACCAAAGUUCCGGCACAUAUAGUGGUUGGGCCCACUCUCUCUGCUUCCCUCUCUGCUGCAUGCACGCACACGAGCAACGGGAGGCCCGACGAAGCCCAGAAGGGUUCGGCCGAACCAGUAUGAGCGCCGCUCCCUCCCAGCCUUCGCGCAGAUGCUCCUCCAACGUUCCUUGACCCCUCCCUCAGCGUCCCGUUGGGUUUAACAUUGCAGGAGAGGAGUCCCUUUUUUAAAAUCUCAACCACCUCCUCUCCCCAUUCACUCCACUCUCAUCUCCAUCAAACUCACCAAGAUCCGCACCGGAAAUCCCUGCUUACCACCAUGGCUGGCAAAGCCCUCAUCCCUUUCACCAACUUGGGCUUGACCACUGAUCUCGAUGGGGAAAUCACUCUGGCAAAUAUGCGUGUAACACUGCCCCCUUUGCCGAGGGUUAAAGCCAAAACACUCAGCAAAGUGGAUAGUACCCCCCUUUUUACCCGUUUUGUCAUGUAUAACGGACCCCUCUCAAUUCACAAUAGACAUCAUCAUAGGCAUUUAUAAUAAACAAUCACAGGCAUAAUUCACAAUCACCAUUACAAGCAUUAUUCAUAAAUAUCACAGACAUAAUCCAAAGUAAGCAUGAAACAAGCCAUAAAUCCAAGUUCAAGUCACAACUAAGUUUCAUCCAAGUUCAAGUCACAAAUGCAAUGUCUAAAUCCAUGGAGGCCAAGGAGACCACUGCGACAAAUCUUGGUCUUCAUUAUUCGAAGCCGCCGAUUGAUUCUGCACAUAGGAUAGGACAUUCUGAGCUAACAUCUAAAGUUGUCAAAAUUAAAGUAUUCAAUCUUAAGCACAAUGUGUCAAAUGACUCACAGGAGUAGUUGUGGGUGGCUGAGGCGGAGGGAACAGCAUCGAUGGCGGUGGCAAAGAUUGACCCAUGCUCGAAGCAAAAUUCUGCAUGUACUGGAACAUCUGGUCCAUCCUCAUCCGAUUUUCUUCCUCCAUCCUCUGCCGCUCGGCCUCUAACCUCCGCUGAACCAUCUGCUCCAUCCUCGCCGCCAUCUCCUCUUGUUGCUUCCUUGCUGCUUCCACCUGGGCCUACAAUAUUUCAUUGCAAUGUUACAAUGCAAAGCUAAAGUAUAGCAACCAACGAACAAUGAAUGGAAGAGAAAGAACCUGGAGAGCCUCCAUCUGGAACUGUCCAAUGGUUGGUCGUAGCCGUAUCGCCGGGCUCGAGUCCGUGCUCCUUGCUUGGAUCUGGGAGAGAGUGGCAGUAGAGGCCGUGUUGAUUACGCCGUCGCCAAUCCAAUAUCGGCCAUGCUUCUUGCCUCCUCCCACCCUCAUCACGAUUUCUCCAUCAAUAUCCUCAGAGCUUGAAUCGAAGUCUGGCCCGUGAACCUCCCUUGCCAUCACUGUAUAUUCCUUUGCCGAGUGCCCGAGAUAAAGCACUCGGCAAAUAGAAAACACUCGGCAACUUUACUGUUUCCCGUAGUGUCGCUAUUUUUGCAGGUUCUCGACCAGGCCAGUUCUUUGGGCCAACCUAUCAUUCACGACUUAAACAUACGGUGGCUGUAGAAAUGUUCUAUUCUUUUCAACAAUACCAGCUGGUUCCUCCGUUUUUAUUCCACCAAUACAAGCACCACCUUGUAACAUUUCCUAUGUUUUUUUUUCCUUUCGUCUGUUUUCUACAUGCGUUGCUCUUUCAUGCAUUUUUUUCCAUUCCUGUAUUCCAAAUAGGUCUACAUGAACACAAAAUGAACUAGGGGACAGAAAAAGCCAGUGAAGCCAAUUUUGAGCUUCACCAGCUACUUGCUACAUAAAGUGUGCUAUAGUGACGUGUUUUAGCAAAACAUGUUAUCAAUGACUUGACAUUGGUGACGUGUUAAAACGCGUUAUCUCAAUGGCAAAUCAUUGGUGACGUGUUUUAAAAAAACAUGUCACCGUGAGAGUCAUUGGUGAAGGGUAAUUAUAAUGCGUCACUAAUGUUGUAGCAUUAGUUAUGAUAAUUUAGUAACGCAAAAAUCUACCAUCAGUAUUGAGCUUUAGAGCCAUCGCUAAUGUGGGUUUCUUACAUAGUGAUGCAAGCUCUACAAGGUGCUGUUGCUGCCAUUUUAAAGCAUCCCAUGACUACAUGUUAAUAACAUAGUUUACCAUAUAUCAUAAAAAUAUUAGUUACAAUAAGCACAUACGCAUGUGGAAGAGUCCGAAUGCACCGGUUGAGGACUAAACACAUUGAAUUACUAGAACCAAAUGUGUGUUUAGAACAAAGACAGGGGUCAAGGUUUGGGUAACCGCAUUAAAAACAUUGGAUUUUACUGUACAUGAACACUUAGUUACCAUUACCAUGCCUUGAGCACCUAGUUACAACAAACAUUAAUUUAGCCACUUUAGAGCUUCCAGAAUCGCUAUAAAUAAUAUACCUACGCCGUACCAUGAAAACAUCAAGAAGAGAGACGGAUACAUGGACCACCAUCAAGCGAGUAGUGACAGCACGCACAAGAAUACCCGGAACCUGUUAGCUUGUCUGUAGUGAUCUGUUUUCUUCCCCAUAAAAUCCAUGAGUAUUGCCACAAAUAAUGAAAGAGGCUGACCAAGCUAGCAAGGAGGUAGAGCAAACGUGAUACACGGCCUGCCAAGAUUGCCCUGGAUACGCCAAUAAGAGCGACAGAUACAUGGAUCACACCAAUAUGGUGAAACGUAUAUUCAUCACACAAGCAAAGCUGGUCAGUUUAUCCAUGGUCAAAUUGUGGUCUUUGUUUUCACUUGAGAGCUAAUUGAGGCACUAUAAUAUGGGCAGGCCUAUCUUCAACAGACAUGACAGCUACAGGGAACUUGACAUAAUUUGCUGGGCCGCCUGUGCACAAUUAUUUGUUUUAUUGUCCUUGCAUAGAAUGCUAAAAUACUCUUUACAAAAUGUUGGAUCUAAUAUUUGAAAUAUAGAGUAGUAAUCAUAUAUUGAUCAACAACUUGAAAUUAUCUGUACAUUCUCGGUGAAGCUGUUGAACUAAUUUUUGCAAAUUAUUAAUUCAUCUCAUUACGUAAAGAAAAAAGUAAGUGGAUAAGAUAUUUCGUGGACCACAUCACUGCAAACAUGUCAUGGAGAGACAGACCAAGGAGGCAGGACGUGAUACACGACUUACCCUAGGUUGCCGUGGAACCGCCAAGAAGAGAUACAGAUACAUGGACCACACCAUCUUGGGAGUAGUGACAGCAUAUAUGCAGAAGAAUACCCCGUGCCUAUUUGCAUGCAUGUCUCAAGUGAUCUGUUUUCUUCAGAAAAUACAUGAGCAUUGCCAGAAAGAAUGGCAAGAGACAAACAUGUCAUAGAGACUUGCAUGUCUUGCCUUGGAUACGCCAAGAAGAGGGACACAUACAUGGAUAACACAAAUCUAGUGACACGUAUAUUCAUCACAAAGGCAAAUCUGAUAAUUUUAUCCAUGGAGCAGACCAAGGAGAAAUUGAUGACGGACAUGUGAUCUCUGUAUUCAGUUGAAAGCUAAUUGAGCUACACUAAUAUGAGCAGGACUAUAUUCAAGAGACUUGUUGAGAGCUACAGGGAACUUGUAAUAAUUUGCUGGGCGGCCUGCGCACAAUGAUUUGUUAUACAUAGUUGAAAUAUUUCAAGAAUUUAUCAACCUCAUACUCUGAAACCCUUGGUGCAAUGUACUCUGCUUUCCGAGGUAGACUGUUCACGUAAAAUGAGGUCAUGCGUAAGACGGAAUCGGAUUGGAUUCACAGGGAAUCAGAUUUGGAUAGCACCUUUUAGCAGGUUUUUAGUCAAAUGCAAAUUCGGAUCCACAUGUGGUUGAAUGCGAGUUCAAAAUUCUACUUGGAUAUCCAUUUAAUUUAGGUGAUAGCAAUUAGCACAAAAUGUUGGAUGAACAAAAUCAUAGUUAGACAUACAAUUACAUGUAUGGUUAAAGUAUAAUACAAUACACCAAGAUUAUUCCUUGAAAAUAUUUCUUAAAAAUAUUAUAAUAAAUGAAUAAAUAUAAUUGUGGCCACCAACAAAUAGUCGGUGGUCGCUAAGUUGGAGCCAUUUCUGGUUACUAAUGCGGCCUUCUCCUCGACCAGCGACGACAGCUGAGCUUGUUCCUUCUGACACUAAAUCAUCAGAGUCUUCCCUCCACUACUAUAGAAUGCACCUUUAGCACCAAUUGGGAAAUCCCCUUCAGUAUUGGAUGCUGCAACCAGUGCUAUAUAUCAAAAUGGAGACUAAAAGCCUCGGUCUUGGGUACCGGUUGCAUAACGCAUUACUAAAGGAGGCAAAAGAGAAAUGUAACAAAAAAAAUAUUUUGAAUUCCAAGAAUGUUUCACUAUUCAAGAUGACUAGCUGAGAGUCAACAGACAAGAUACUAGGAAUGUGGGUGCUUGAAUGCAUUUGUACAGAGGUCAUACUAUUUACAAACUCUUCUAUGUUUCCAUAUGACUACCUACUUCAAUGUCACGCGAGCCAUUCAGCUGGACACAUGGCACACUAGCUUGCAUGUCGAAUCCAUGAUUAAUUAUUUCCACUUGUGAUCUCUUACCAGUAUUUGUCCAGACUAGAAACGUGCAACACAUUUUUAGGAUAUGGACACGCAUAUAUUUGGACUAGUAUACAGGUCACCUUUGGAUGCGUACAAGGAUGACCGGGAGGGACUAGAAAUGGUCUAGUUUUGAUUGGACUACAAAACUUUUUGUACAGUGAAUAGAGAAUAUAUAUUAUUGUUGGAAUACGAGGUAGGCUACACUAUCGCAAUUCUGAUAUUCUACCGCGUAUAACCAAGAAGAACUGUCGUAUAAGGAUCACGGGAUUACCACUCGACGCACUACUGGUGCGGAAGAUGUAGAUAUGCGUCGAUGCAGUGAAGACGAUCACGUAGUCGUAUGUAGUCGAUCAACGUAGUCGUACAUAGUCGAUCACGUCCAGCAGCUCCUCAGCAGCUCGUCCACGUGCAGCAAGAUCGCCUCCGGUACCGCGGCUCGUCGUUGGCUUGUCGUGGCUCGUCGACGGCUCGUCGGCGGCUCGUCCAAGUGCUGCAGGCGCAACACCUCCAAGGUAUCCACACGUGCAGGGAGGAAGCGUCGCAAGCCGGACUGCUAGAUCCACGAGUUGCAACAGGCGAGGGCGUGGGAGGCGCGGCAGGUGUGUUUCGCCAAAAAGGUGUAAACCCUAGGGCGCCCCCACCCCUCUAUUUAUAGAGGUUCCUGACGGGCCUCUGGAUCCGAGGCCCAUUAGUACUUCUAAACCUAAUCCAACUCGGAUCAGAUCCGAAUUGGGCUUCCAGCCCCUUAAGUGUGUGACCCUAUAAGUUCGGAUACGUAUAGACAUGGCCCGAGUACUCCUACUCGGCCCAAUAGUCGGUAGCGGCCUCUAGCAAGACGUGCCAACUCCUAUACGCACACGAAGAUCAUAUCAGACGAACCAUCACAACAUAAUAUACAUGCUAUUCCCUUUGCCUCACGAUAUUUGGUCUAGCUUCAAGCCGACCGCUCUUUCUCAGUCCUGUGAUUCGGAAUCCCUUUGUAGGUUAACUCUUAACCGUACGUAGCAUGGCCAUGCAUUUUCGGAUCUGAUCACUCGAGGGGCCCAGAGAUAUCACUCUCAAUCAGAGAGGGGCAAAUCCCAUCUUGAUUGACCAUGUCUCAUAGCAUGCUUCUUGACAAACCUAAAAACUACCUUUAUAACUUCCCUGUUACGGCGUAGUGUUUGAUAGCUCCUAAGUAGGUCGAUCCACAUCUAGAAUACAUGCGACAAUUUCAGGUCUAAGGACAAAGCGUAUAUGUUGUUUAAAGAGAGAACUACUUCUCGUGUUGGGUCAGUCCCAGCACAUGUCUCCACAUGUGUCCACAUUAUUAGUUCAACAUCUCCAUGUCCAUGACUUGUGAAACAUAGUCAUCAACUAAUACAUGUGCUAGUCUAAUAUUCAUGUGUGUCCUCACAUGAACUCCGACUAGGGACAACUUUAGAAUAACCAUACAAGUAAAGAGUUUCACAUACAAUUCACAUAAUUGCAAAUCAAUUCAAGUAGCCUUCAAUGGAUAUUCAAUGAACACAACAUACAAAUCAUGGAUACAAAUGGAAUAUCAUCAUCUCUAUGAUUGCCUCUAGGGCAUACCUCCAACAGUCUCCCACUUGCACUAGAGUCAAUCUAGAAGGUACCUAAUACCCAUAGCUCUUACAUGCGCAUCAUGCUUAGCCUGCGGGAGUGGUUUUGUCAACGGAUCAGAAAUGUUCAGAUCCGUGUGUAUUUUGCAUAUCUUGAUCUCACCCCGGUUAACGAAGUCUCGAAUGAGAUGAAAUCGCCGCAUUACAUGUUUGUUCUUCUGGUGGUUCCUUGGCUCCUUUGCUUGCGCAAUUGCCCCAUUGUUAUCACAGUAGAGAUUCAAUGGGCUGGACCCAUUCGGGAACACACCAAGCUCAAUGAGGAAAUUCCUUAUCCAAACACCUUCCUUCGCGGCUUCCGAAGCCGCGAUGUACUCGGCUUCUGUCGUAGAAUCGGCCACCGUCUCCUGCUUGGAACUCUUCCAACUAACAGCACCACCAUUUAGCGUGAACACAAAUCCUGUUUGUGACUUUGAAUCAUCUCUGUCGGUUUGGAAACUAGCAUCGGUGUAACCUGUUACAACGAGCUCCUCCUCACCUCCAUAGACGAGGAAUAUAUCUUUAGUCCUUCUCAAGUACUUAAGAAUGUUUUUCACCGCUGUUCAGUGACUCUCACCUGGAUCAGAUUGGUGUCUGCUUGUCAUACUUAGCACAUAUGAAACAUCUGGGCGAGUACUUAUCAUUGCAUACAUGAUAGAUCCAAUAGCCGAGGCAUAUGACACUCUACUCAUGUGAUCCCGCUCAUCAGCAGUCGAAGGACACUGAGUCUUGCUGAGAUGUAUGCCAUGUGACAUAGGCAAGAACCCUUCCAUGCUGAACCGCUUCAACACUUUGUCAAUGUAAGUAUCUUGGCUUAAACCUAUAAGCCUUCUCGAUCUAUCUCUAUAGAUCUUAAUGCCCAGAAUAUAUGCCGCUUCCCCUAAGUCCUUCAUCGAAAAACUAUUUUUCAGUGAAGUCUUUAUGGACUCAAGCAUAGGAAUGUUAUUUCCAAUCAGUAAUAUGUCAUCCACAUAUAAGAUUAGAAAUACUACAGAGCUCCCACUAACCUUCUUGUAAACACAAGACUCUUCUUCGUUCUUGGUGAAGUCAAACCCUUUGACCACUUCAUCAAAACGAAUGUUCCAACUCCUAGAUGCUUGCUUCAAUCAAUAAAUGGAUCUCUGAAGCUUGCAUACCUUUCCAGCAUUUUUCGGAUCGACAAAACCCUUGGACUGUAUCAUAUACACGUCCUCAGUUAGGUUUCCAUUCAGGAAAGCUGUCUUGACAUCCAUCUGCCAUAUCUCAUAAUCGAAAUAUGCAGCCAAACUUGAUUGUCUCCCAUGGACUCUAUUUCGGAUUGCAUGGCAUUCUGCCAUUUUUCGGAGUCUGGGUCCAUCAUUGCUUCUGCAUAUGUCACAGGCUCAUCAUUGUCCAACAAUAAUAUUUCCUGCAUUUCGCGGAGCCUUGCCGACCUUCGUGGUUGUGGCGGUGCUUCUCUUGCCAUGGGUAUCUCAACUUGUUCUGCUACGUUAGCAUCACUCAUUGAUUCUUGCCCGAUCGGCUCAUCUUGAACUUCUUCAAGAUGCACUGUCUUUCCACUCUUUUCUCCUUUGAGAAACUCUUUCUCUAGGAAAACCCCGUUCCGAGCGACAAACACUUUGCCUUCUGAUCAGUUGUAAAAAUAAUAUCCCAAAGUUUCCUUUGGAUAUCCCACGAAAAUGCACUUAUCCGACUUGGGUGCGAUCUUGUCCGACUGAAGUCGCUUGACAAACACAUCACAUCCCCAAAUCUUUAGAAAAGACAAACUAGGAACCUUUCCAGUCCAUAUCUCAUAUGGUGUCUUAACUACGGAUUUAGAUGGUACCCUAUUAAGUGUGAAAGCUGCUGUUUCUAGAGCGUAUCCCCAAAAUGACAACGGUAGGUCCGACUGGCUCAUCAUUGAUCGAACCAUGUCUAACAAAGAUCGAUUACGUCGCUCGGACACACCGUUUCUCUGAGGUGAUCCAGGCGGCGUAAGUUGUGGAACAAUUCCGCAACUCUUUAGAUGAUUGCUAAACUUGUGGCUCAAAUACUCGCCUCCACGAUCAGAUUGUAAGGCCUUAAUUUUCUUGACACGCUAAUUUUCAACUUCAUUCUGAAAAUCCUUGAACUUUUCAAAGGUUUCAGACUUGUGCCUCAUCAAGUAGACAUAGCCAUAUCUACUAAAAUCAUCAGUGAAAGAUAUGAAGUAUUGGAAUCCUCCUCUAGCCGUCGUGCUCAUUGGUCCGCAUACAUCACUAUGUACGAGUUCCAACAAGUCUACUGCUCUCUCAGGAAAUCCUGUGAAAGACGUCUUGGUCAUCUUGCCUAGCAAGCAAGCCUCACAUGUCUCGUAUGAUUCAAAAUCAAACGAAGUUAGAAGUCCAUCAGAAUGGAGCUUCUUCAUGCGUUUUUCACUUAUAUGACCCAAACGACAAUGCCACAAGUAGGUAGGACUCAAAUCAUUAGGCCGAGGCCUUUUAGCACUUACAUUACAGACAGGUGAACCAUCAAGAUUUAAAACAAAUAAUCCAUUCACAAUGGGUGCAAAAGCCAUAAACAUAUUAUUCUUAGAGAUCACACAACCAUUGUUUUCACUCGCAAAUGAAUAACCAUCCUUCAUCAAGCAUGAAGGAGACAAAAUGUUUCGACUUAAACUAGGAACAAAAUAACAAUUAUUCAACUCCAUAAUAAAUGCUGACGGGAGGUGGAGUUGCAUCGUCCCGACGGUCAACGCAGCAACUCUUGCAUUAUUGCCCACGCGGAAAUCAACUUCUCCUCUUUCCACGCUUCUACUUCUUAUCAUUCCCUGCAUCGAAUUGCAAAUAUGAGCAACCGAUCCGGUAUCAAAUACCCAAGAAUUAAUAAUUGUAUCAGCGAGAAAUAUGUUGUCUAUGACAUUAACAACAAGCGUACCUGAGGUAGAAGUACUCUUACUUCCUCCAUUCUUCAACGAAGCUAGGUACUGCUUGCAGUUUCUCUUCCAGUGACCAAGUUCAUGACAGUAAAAGCACUCUUUGUCUGGAGCAGGUCCAGGUCCAGCUUUAACCUUGGGCGCUCGCUGGGUUUGGCUUGGAAAUUCCAGCCUUGCCCUUCUUCUUCCAAGAAUUGCCCUUCUUCUUAAAGCUAGGCUUGUUCUGUAUAGCCAUCACAUGGCUAGUACAAGCGCUUUUCUUGAUGUCUACCUCUGCUGUCUUGAGCAUACCACACAGUUCAUUCAAACCCUUCUCCGUCCCAUGCAUAUGGUAGUUCGAGAUGAAGUUCCCAUAGCUAGGCGGAAGAGAUGAAAGAAUGAAGUCAGUGGCCAACUCUUUGCCCAUUGGGAAGCCCAGCUUCUCCAAUCGCUGAGUGUAACCAACCAUGUUGAUUACAUGUGGUCCUACUGCUGCGUCUUCUGCUAGCUUGCACUCCAGAAAAGCUUUGGACACAUUGAACCUUUCAGUCCUAGCCUGUGUCUGGAACAUGUCCUUGAGCGCCACGAUCAUAUCGUGUGCCUCAUGAUUUGUUUCGAACUGCAUCUGCAGCUCGGGUUCCAUGCAAGCAAGCAUAAGGCAGCUUACCUCAAGAUUAGCAUCAAAUGCCUUCUUGUAAGCAGCCUUAACGGCAGCAGAUGCAUCAUCAGCAGGUACUGGUGGUAGUGGGGUAUCUAGAACAUCUUCCUUUUUAUCGGCCCUGAGAACAAUUCUCAGGUUACGGAUCCAAUCCGAGUAGUUUGUUCCAUUCAACUUGUCCUUCUCAAGGACCGAGCGCAAAGCAAACGAUGUGGUGGUGUUGCUAGGUGCCAUUUAAUCUACAACAAAAGUAAUGCAAAAUACACUAAGACAAACGUAUCCAUGAUAGAGCAAAUUACAUUAAACUAUUUUAACAGAAUCUACUCCCACUAAAAUCAAUAUCCCUCUAUUGAAACUUAGUGAUUCAGGAUCCACAACUAACAAGUCUACUAGUGAGCUUUAGCAUCACCGCUAGCAAACGAGGUAGAUCGGUAAGCAACUUUUGCUAAUCAUAUCACAUAUGACUCCUGUUGUUGGGUGACAUCUCCAUGUCUCGGCGCCCAACCAUUAUGCCCCAAGGUCCUUAACCGUUAAGAUGACCUCGUUAAGCAAACCAACCCUUAUGCGUGUAAGUGUCCGACACAAACCCGUCUAGUCAAGGAAAACUAGUGGCACCCUAAUUUCAUAGACCCACCACUAAUUGUACAAGACAUGGGACGGUGCAAGUUUUAGUUGGGAGGGCAUACUAACUUAAAUUUUUUGUGAGGGAUCGUUCUACUUCUAACAUCACAGCAUGCAGAAAGUAAAACAUAAACAGAAUAGCAUUCACACAGCUGUGACACAGUAUGGCCCGUUUUUAUAUGGUGAUCUCCAUCUCCAUAGAACCUGUUCACCAUGGUGAUCUCCAUCUCCAUGUUCCAUGUGCGCCAUCCUCCUGGUGAGGAGUCCUCCAAGAACUAGAACAUGCUAUUACACCUAAUAGCUAGUAAAGAAUCUAGUAAUGAAGAUUACAUAGUUGCUUGGAUCAUCACAGAUUGGUACGCAGACCAUUAAAUACAAUAAAGUGACAACACAUAUGGCUCCUGCCGUGUUGCCGUACGCGCGACACGCAGGUCACGAAUGAGUUACACACAUGCAUCACAUACACAAGGGGGCCAUACUGAUCACAAGAUACAUACAUACAUCCUGCAAAACAGAGUUAGGCGUCCUAACGUUCCAAACUUCGAAGGCCCGAAACUCCAUCUUCCAAGCCGAAUUUGGGAAAUCUAAUUUUGCCGAAAACGGCAAAGCGGUUGAAUUUCAUGUGUAACUUUUUCUGUAGAUCAAUUUUCAUAUAAAAUUCGCCCCGAUCCGAGAUCGUACCGAAAAGUUACGGCUGAUUUACCGAAGCAUACGCAUACGGCAAAAAUUCCGACCCCGGCAGUAGAUCCCAUCUACUAUUGCACAUCUAAUGCGCCUGGCGUAUGAUCCUGGAUUUCGAUUCGACCAAUCAUAUUGAUCUUCGCUCACUGCAACUGGAAUUACGUGUAUCACUUAACUCGUCGGCGGCUCGUCGGCGGCUCAUCCAAGUGCUGCAGGCCCAACACCUCCAAGGUAUCCACACGUGCAGGGAGGAAGCGUCGCAAACCGGACUGCUAGAUCCGCGAGUUGCAAUAGGCGAGGGCGUGGGAGGCGCCGCAGGUGUGUUUCGCCAAAAAGAUGUAAACCCUAGGGCGCCCCCACCCCUCUAUUUAUAGAGGUUCCUGACGGGCCUCUGGAUCCGAGGCCCAUUAGUACUUCUAAACCUAAUCCAACUCGGAUCAGAUCCGAAUUGGGCUUCCAGCCCCUUAAGUGUGUGACCCUAUGGGUUCGGAUACGUAUAGACAUGGCCCGAGUACUCCUACUCGGCCCAAUAGUCGGUAGCGGCCUCUAGCAAGACGUGCCAACUCCUAUACACACACGAAGAUCAUAUCAGAUGAACCAUCACAACAUAAUAUACAUGCUAUUCCCUUUGCCUCACGAUAUUUGGUCUAGCUUCAAGCCGACCGCUCUUUCUCAAUCCUGUGAUUCGGAAUCCCUUUGUAGGUUAACUCUUAACCGUACGUAGCAUGGCCAUGCAUUUUCGGAUCCGAUCACUCGAGGGGCCCAGAGAUAUCACUCUCAAUCAGAGAGGGGCAAAUCCCAUCUUGAUUGACCAUGUCUCAUAGCAUGCUUCUUGACAAACCCGAAAACUACCUUUAUAACUACCCUGUUACGGCGUAGCAUUUGAUAGCCCCUAAGUAGGUCGAUCCACAUCUAGAAUACAUGCGACAAUCUCAGGUCUAAGGACAAAGCGUAUAUGUUGUUUAAAGAGAGAACUACUUCUCGUGUUGGGUCAGUCCCAGCACAUGUCUCCACAUGUGUCCACAUUAUUAGUUCAACAUCUCCAUGUCCAUGACUUGUGAAACAUAGUCAUCAACUAAUACAUGUGCUAGUCUAAUAUUCAUGUGUGUCCUCACAUGAACUCCGACUAGGGACAACUUUAGAAUAACCAUACAAGUAAAGAGUUUCACAUACAAUUCACAUAAUUGCAAAUCAAUUCAAGUAGCCUUCAAUGGAUAUUCAAUGAACACAACAUACAAAUCAUGGAUACAAAUGGAAUAUCAUCAUCUCUAUGAUUGCCUCUAGGGCAUACCUCCAACAAUUAUUUCAUGUAAAUUUUUGACAAUUUUUUAAAAUUGUUUGAUAUUUUUUAAAUUUUUUUUAAAAUAACUUUGCCGAGUGUCCUAUUGUAGACACUCGGCAAAGCAGCCUUCACCGAGUGUUACCCCUGGGACACUCGGCGAAUUAAUGCCCGGCCGCUCAAGAAUAUGUGCCCGGCCCCCUCACUCUCCCGGCCCCCCUCACUCUCACUCCCCUCACUCCCUCCUCUCUCCCUCCUCUCUCCCUCUCGCCGCCGCCCGAAACCCCCGCCGCCGCCCGCCGCCCGGCAUGCCGCCCAGCGCCCCCCGCCGCCGCCCGGCGCUCCCGAAUCCGCCGCCGCCCGCCCGGCGCCCGGCCCCCGGAUCCGCCGCCGCCGGCCGCCCGGCGCCCCCGGAUUCGCCGCCGCCCGCCCGGCCCCCGGCCCCCGGAUCAGCCGCCGCCCGCCGCCCGGCGCACGGCGCCCCCGGAUCCGCCGCCGCCUGCCCGGCGCCCGGCCCCUGGCCCCCUGAUCCGCCGCCGCCCGCCCGGAUCCGCCGCCGCCCGCCCGGCGCCCGGCCCCCGGCCCCCGGAUCCACCGCCGCCCCCCCGGCCCCCGGAUCCGCCGCCCGCCCGUCCCCUCCACCGGAUCCGCCGGCGCCGGGGCCUGAAGAGAAGAGAAGAGGAGAGGAUGGUGGCGGCGGCGGCCGCGGCGGCGGAGCAGGUGGCAGAGCAUGCAUGAUUUUUUUUUAUUUUUUCAAUAAUUGUUCGCCAAGUGUUUUCUGGGCACUCGGCAAAGUCUUUGCCGAGUGCCCGACACAAAACACUCGGCGAACCAGUGUUUGCCGUCAAGAUUUUUGCCGUGUGUCGUUUGCCGAGUGUUACACUCGGCAAACGCUUUGUCGAGUGUUUUUGGGGUUUCGCGGAGUGACCCUGGCACUCGGCAUCACGCAUGUUUCCCUUAGUGAACUUGAAAUUAUCUGUACAUUCUCGGUGAAGCUGUUGAACUAAUUUUUGCAAAUUAUUAAUUCAUCUCAUUACGCAAAGAAAAAAGUAAGUGGAUAAGAUAUUUCGUGGACCACAUCACUGCAAACAUGUCAUGGAGAGACAGACCAAGGAGGCAGGACGUGAUACACGACUUACCCUAGGUUGCCGUGGAACCGCCAAGAAGAGAUACAGAUACAUGGACCACACCAUCUUGGGAGUAGUGACAGCAUAUAUGCAGAAGAAUACCCCGUGCCUAUUUGCAUGCAUGUCUCAAGUGAUCUGUUUUCUUCAGAAAAUACAUGAGCAUUGCCAGAAAGAAUGGCAAGAGACAAACAUGUCAUAGAGACUUGCAUGUCUUGCCUUGGAUACGCCAAGAAGAGGGACACAUACAUGGAUAACACAAAUCUAGUGACACGUAUAUUCAUCACAAAGGCAAAUCUGAUAAUUUUAUCCAUGGAGCAGACCAAGGAGAAAUUGAUGACGGACAUGUGAUCUCUGUAUUCAGUUGAAAGCUAAUUGAGCUACACUAAUAUGAGCAGGACUAUAUUCAAGAGACUUGUUGAGAGCUACAGGGAACUUGUAAUAAUUUGCUGGGCGGCCUGCGCACAAUGAUUUGUUAUACAUAGUUGAAAUAUUUCAAGAAUUUAUCAACCUCAUACUCUGAAACCCUUGGUGCAAUGUACUCUGCUUUCCGAGGUAGACUGUUCACGUAAAAUGAGGUCAUGCGUAAGACGGAAUCGGAUUGGAUUCACAGGGAAUCAGAUUUGGAUAGCACCUUUUAGCAGGUUUUUAGUCAAAUGCAAAUUCGGAUCCACAUGUGGUUGAAUGCGAGUUCAAAAUUCUACUUGGAUAUCCAUUUAAUUUAGGUGAUAGCAAUUAGCACAAAAUGUUGGAUGAACAAAAUCAUAGUUAGACAUACAAUUACAUGUAUGGUUAAAGUAUAAUACAAUACACCAAGAUUAUUCCUUGAAAAUAUUUCUUAAAAAUAUUAUAAUAAAUGAAUAAAUAUAAUUGUGGCCACCAACAAAUAGUCGGUGGUCGCUAAGUUGGAGCCAUUUCUGGUUACUAAUGCGGCCUUCUCCUCGACCAGCGACGACAGCUGAGCUUGUUCCUUCUGACACUAAAUCAUCAGAGUCUUCCCUCCACUACUAUAGAAUGCACCUUUAGCACCAAUUGGGAAAUCCCCUUCAGUAUUGGAUGCUGCAACCAGUGCUAUAUAUCAAAAUGGAGACUAAAAGCCUCGGUCUUGGGUACCGGUUGCAUAACGCAUUACUAAAGGAGGCAAAAGAGAAAUGUAACAAAAAAAAUAUUUUGAAUUCCAAGAAUGUUUCACUAUUCAAGAUGACUAGCUGAGAGUCAACAGACAAGAUACUAGGAAUGUGGGUGCUUGAAUGCAUUUGUACAGAGGUCAUACUAUUUACAAACUCUUCUAUGUUUCCAUAUGACUACCUACUUCAAUGUCACGCGAGCCAUUCAGCUGGACACAUGGCACACUAGCUUGCAUGUCGAAUCCAUGAUUAAUUAUUUGCACUUGUGAUCUCUUACCAGUAUUUGUCCAGACUAGAAACGUGCAACACAUUUUUAGGAUAUGGACACGCAUAUAUUUGGACUAGUAUACAGGUCACCUUUGGAUGCGUACAAGGAUGACCGGGAGGGACUAAUGGAUACAAGGAAGGGACCAUCAGGAUUAAUAUUGACAUAUGCCACAUGACAAUCUUCAUUGUCAUGCAAUCCCUAUCAACAAUCAUGGAAUCCCUAGUGUACUAAUCCCUGGAGGGUUGUGUGGAAAUUUAUUUUACCUUGCGGUGAAAAUCUCAUGAGCAGUCAUUAGUUAAGCUGACUAGCUGAGAUAUAAUAGACAAGCUAGUAAGAUUGGGAGCAUCAAUGCAUCCAUACAGGGUCACAAUAUCCUUUCCAUUCACUUUUAUAUAUAACCCUACGAAUACAAGUCCAACGAAAUGCGGGCCUUUCGAUCAAGAUAAAUUAAAUGGCCCACUUGUAUUUCUAAUCCAGGAUUAACUAUGCCCUCUGUUCAUCUCUUGCAAGCACGUGCAACACAUUUUCACGAUAUGGACAUGCAUGGAGGUUAUUAUACUGUUUGGACAAACUCUGAUGUGCCAUGACCUAAAUGCUUAGGGCCUGUUUGGUUUGAGUUGCUUAUUAUAAGCAACUUAAAGUUGCUUAAAGUUGCUUAUUUGAAGUUGCUUAUUUUUAGUCUAAACUGUUUGGAUACCCUUGCUUAUGAGCAUUGAAUGAGUUGGACAUUGUCAAAUUUGCCCCAUGUGUUGCUACCCCUCCAAUUUGCCUCCCCACCCUUCUUCUUCCUGCACACGUCCGAUCCCGGGGGCCGACGGCGGGCAGGGAGCAGCAGCAGCUGGCCAGGGCGGCGGUGGGGCGGGAGCGGCGGCGCACACCAGCACGCGCUCGCACGCCAGGUGCUAGGGCGCGGCGAGGCAGUCGUCGUAGCCCACCGGGAGCGGGUGCUCGGGCGCGAGGCGGUACUCGACGGAGAUGCCGAGCGUCGGGCGCGCGGCGGCGAGCGCGUUGAGGAAGCGAUGGUAGUGCGGCGACGUCGCGGACUCCGCCACGAAGCCGCCGCCGUGGACGUACACCACCACGGGCAGCUUCGUCUUGCCGUCGGCGGCCGCGGCCGCGGCCUGGGGUGGCAGGUAGAGGCGGACGGAGCAGGAGCCGAGGUCGACGUCCCUGGAGUCGACGCCCGUGGCGGCGUCCAGGCUAGGCCCGACCGGCGGCGGCACGAGCGGGCGCUCGAUGCGGCCGCUCUUGUAAAUCCGACGGGUCUGUGCGGAGGCGGGCGGCGGGCGGGAGCGGCGGGUGGGAGCGGCGGCAGGUGGUGCGGAGGCCGGCGGCGGCGGGUGGCGCGGAGGAAGGGGAGCUGGUGAGUGGUGACAGGGGAGGGGGGGAGAGAGAGGGGGGGGUAGGGUGCAUUGAAUGAGGGCAGGAGGUGUAAAGUGCACCUUUUAGUCCCCAUGAGCAACCAUAAGCAGCCCAAGAGUUGCUUAUUUGCUUAUAAUAAGCAACCUCAUAAGCAAGAGUGAUUGGUUUCAUAAGCAACUUAUUUGCUUAUUUUAAGUUGCUUAUGCAUAAGCAUGUGAAACCAAGCAGGUCCUUAACCUAUGGUUGUGGCACCACACAGUACAUAGUAUUUAAUAAUGCUAUUCGUUUGGUAUGUGCACAAGGGCACGCAUGAAAUGUCUGGCCCACGGUAAACAAGUACGGACGCUGCAAAUAAUCUACUCUGCUCGUCCAGUCCCUAGCCUAUAAAUAGAUGCCAUGCUAGCUCUUGUUGUGCUCACAAUUAAUCCUGACUACACACGAGCUUCUCUCCCUGGCCAAGACACAAUCAUAGUAUGAUGAAGAACAUGGCACUAGCCGGCAAUGGUAUGAAGAACUUAAUCCUCGCUGUUCUCUUACUGUGUCUAGUUAUAGGGCAGAUACAAGUGGAAGCUAAGAGCUGCUGCCCAUCCAUUACUGCAAGAAAUAUCUACAAUGCCUGCCGUAUCACGGGUACAUCCCGUCCAACGUGUGCAAAACUGUCAGGCUGCAAAAUUAUCAGCGGGGACAAAUGCAAGCCCCCUAACGACCACCUCACCCUUGACCCGGACACUGGUAAAUAAUAAAUUUAUCUCACUUGAUUUCUUCGUGUUUUGAGUCGUUAAUGUAUUUUCCAUCUGAUGAAACGUAUUGGUUUUGCAUUGAAGAGGAAGUUAAUGUGCUUAACUUCUGCAAGUUGGGGUGUGCGUCGUCUGUGUGCAACAACAUCAACGCUGGUAAGCACCUUUUGCUCAGACGGAGAAAACAAUAAUCAUUAAUUAGCGGCAGCUAGAAUCCUAUAAUCUAAUAUAUUUAUAUAUAUAUAUAAUUUUAUCAGCUCUGGGAAAUGAAGAGGCGAACGAUGCCGUUGAGAGUUGCGACCAAGCCUGCUCUAGCUUCUGCAACGUGCACGUUGGCGCUGCCACCGUGGUUGCUUAAGCAAAUGCAUCCAACUGGAUCGUCCUUGUGCUAAAUAAUUGGAUAUCGUAUCCACUUAAAGCUGCCUUGUGUAGUACGUUUUUGUUUGUGUCUCUCUUUAUAUUCCAAUAAGGUCGGUGAUCUUGAUGCCACACACUCAGACGUGUGUUCAUCUCCAGAUACUACUCCAUGCUACCUGCCCUUUGUGUUUUGUUCAAUAACUGGGUAUCAU